UUUGCCUUGCUAUGAAACACUAGAUUGUUAAAAAUUGCUAUGGCAGCUUGAUUAUCAACAAAAAUUCUGGUUGCAACAUCCUGAACCAUCUUCAAAUCUGUCAUGAGCCUCCUUAACCAUAAGGCUUGAUUGAUUACGACAGCAGCUGCAACAUACUCGGCCUCAGCAGUAGACUGAGCUAUAAUUUCAUGUUUCUUUGAACUCCAACAGAAACAACCUGAUCCAAGACUAAACAUGUAGCCUGAUGUGCUCCUCAUAUCAUCACAUGAUCCUGCCUAAUCAAUAUAAGCAAAACCAUCCAAAACCAACUUAUCUUUCUUCUCAAACUUUAUUCCGAGAUCCAAAGUCCCCUUGACAUACCUGAGCACCCUCUUAGCAGCCUUAUAAUGCAACUCACUUACACAAUGCAUAUACCUGAACAACAGACUUACAAGGCACAUUAUAUCAGGUCUUGUUGCUGUUAAAUAUAUCAAACAGCCUAUGAUACUCCUGUACAAUCCCUCAUCAGCCUUUUCAGCACCAUCAUCUUUACUAAAUUUCUCAUUUUGAGCCAAAGGGGUACAUAAUGACUUACAAUCCUUCAUGUUGAAUUUAUUCAACACUUCCUUGGCAUAUUUCUGUUGUCCAAUGAAGAUCCCUUGCUGUAAUUGUUGAAUCUCUAAUCCUAAAAGGAAUGUCAUCUCUCCAAGAUCAGUCAUCUCAAAUGCUUGCAUCAAAUGAGCCUUAAAUUGCUUCACCAAUUCUGCAUUACUUCUUGUGACAAGCAAAUCAUCAACAUAUAAUGAAACAACUAUUAGUUCAUCAUUAAUAACUUUGAUAUACAAAGUUGAUUCACUCAUGCUUUUGUUGAAGCCUUUCUUCUUCAAAUGCUCAUCAAUUUUGUUGUACCAGGCUCUUGGAGCUUGCUUCAAUCCUUAUAACACUUCUUUAACAAGUAUAACUUCUCUGGAUCUGUAACAAAAUCCUCAUGUUGUUUAACAAAAAUUUCUAAAGGCUUACUUUACAUCAAGCUGGUAGAUCCUCCACUGUUUUGGUGUUGCAAAUGCUAUAAGCAAUCUAAUGGUGUCCAACCUUGCUACAGGUGCAAAAGUCUCAGAAAAAUCUACACCAAAUAAUUGAGCAUACCCUUUUAUAACUAGCCUUACCAUGUAUUUGUUUACAGAACCAUCAGCAUUAAGUUUGGUUCUAUAAACCCAUUUCACACCAAUAGCUUUCUUGUGUAGUGGUUUGUCCACCAACUCCCAGGUUUGAUUCUUAUGAGCCAUCUUGAUCUUCUCCUCCAUUGCUACAAUCCACUUUGGAUCCUAAACAACCUCAUCAUACCCUACAGGUUCAAACAUAGCCAUAUUGCACCUUUGAUAAAUUUUUGUAAGUGACAUAGGCUUAUCAUCAAUCACAUCAUCAACUUGCAAUUCUGGUCUUUUUCUUCUGUAUAAGCCUGUUCUGGUUCAAUCUUAUCCCAAUUCCGUCUUGUAGCUUCAUCAAAUUUGACAUUCCUACUUACUAUGCUUUUUUUCUGUCAAGGGUUGAUAAAUUUUGUAACCCUUGGUGAGACUGCUAUAUCCAACAAAGACUCCAUAUUCUGCCUUUUGAUCCAACUUCUCCUUCCUUGCAUCUGGAACAUGAGUAAAACACAAACAACAAAAAAUUCUUAAGUUAUGAAUAAAAGGUUUAAAACCAUACCAGGCUUCAAAAUGUGUUUUUCCCUUUAAAGCCUUGGUUGGUAACCUAUUUAGCAGAAAUACAACAAUAUUAGCAGGCUCAACCCAAAAUAUUUUUGGCAUUUCCUUCUCAAAUAAUAGACAUCUAACCAUCUCCAUAAUUGUCCUGUUUUUCUUCUCACCGACUUCAUUUUUUUGAGGACUAUAGGUUGCAGUAAGCUGAUGUUCAAUCCCUGCAGCUUCACAAAACUUAACAAAUUUGUCUGUCGUAUAUUCAGUCCCAUUAUCAGACCUAAUCACCUUAACUCUACAACCACUUUGAUUUUCAAUCCAUGUUUUGAACUUCCAAAACACACCAGCAACCUCAGACAUCUAUUUAAGAAAAUAUACCUAACAUAUUCUGCAAAAGUCAUCAACAAGAACCAUAAAAUACCUAUUUCCACUUAAGGAUGCAGUCCUCAUAGGUCCACAAACAUUAGUGUGGAUCAAUUGAAGCUUCUCAACUGCUCUCCAUACCUUAUUAACAGGAAAUGACAAUCUGGCUUGCUUUCCAAGCUGAAAAACUCCACAUACUGUUGCUGCUCCUCUAUUGUAAGUCAUUCCUCGCACAAGAUCAUUUUUCUGCAUGUAAUCCAAUGUAGAAUAGUGAAAAUGCCCCAUUCUCUUGUGUCAUAACUCAGCCUGGUCAAAAGUACAUGAAUAUGCACUAGACUCAUCCUUGUUCCAAUUUAGACUGAAACUUUUGCUAUUCAUUUUACAGAAAACAGCACCACACCCUUUGAGUUAGCAAUCACACACAUUUUAUUCUUAAACACAACAGAAUAACCUUUCUCAAGUAAUUGUCCCACUCUCAACAGAUUUUGAUCAAUCUUUGGAACAAGUAACACAUCAUAAAUUAGCUUUAUACCUGCGGAGCCUUUUAUUGCAACAGUCUCUUUACCUUUCACCUCAAUAGCCCAUUGCCAAUUCUGACUCUUGACACCUCUGACUUGUUUACUUUGUUGAAAAGGGAUUCAUCAAAAGACAUGUGGUUUGUGCAUCCAUUGUCUAUAAGCCAGUCAUCACUUGAACUGCUAUUAGAAAAACAAGAUGUAACAAAAAGUUGCUUUUCCUGGUGUUGAUCCACUGCUUGCACUAGGUGUCCUUCUUGUUGUUUGUUUUUACACACCCUUUCCAUAUGCCCCAACUAUUUGCAUGCCCUGCAUUGAAUGUCAGGUCUAACAAGCAAUAUUUCUGCAAAUGAGAGGUUAUCUUACAAUAAGGACAUGGAGGGUGCUUGCCCUUGUUGCCUCCACUACUGUUGUUUUCCUCUUUCUUAUUGUUCUUCUUACUCCAUUGUUUCUUUCCUUUGUUGCCUCCUUGAGCUUGAUCAACCUCUUUCACUUGAAAUGCUUCCUCAAUUAUCUUCUCCUUUCUGUAAGCUCUCCUUUGCUCUUGAGCUUGUAGUGCAUUGAUGAGUUCUGCCAAUUUAUUAUUGACAGAUCCGUGGACUCUUCAAGUGAAGAGAUUUUGGAUUCGAAUCUCUCAGGUAAGGUCACCAAAAUCUUCUCUACUACCCUUGUGUCAGAAUUCUUCCCCUAGCAUCCUAAUCUUGUUAGCUAGCAUUAGCAACUUGUCCAUAUAAUCCUUCAUUUUUUGUAUUUCAAAUUCCCUUCUCAAGUUCAAGACCUACAUUUGCUUUGUCCUGAUGUUUCCUUGAUAUUCUUCUUUCGAAAGAUCUCAUGCCUGUUUUGUUGUUUCACAGGUUAUGAUCUUUGUAAAAAACUGUCUCUGAAACUGCAGAGCGGAUGCAGGUCUUGGCCUUAUAUCUCCUCUUUCUUUCCUCUCUAUUGUUUCUGAUCUGCGCCAUUGUUGGACCCUCAGGAUUUGUUUCCACCAAGUCCCACAAGUCACAUGCUUGCAAGUACCACUCCAUUUUCAUAGCCCAUAUUUGGUAAUUUUCACCUGUGAAAACUGGAGGUGCAAACAAAAAAUCAUUUCGUGCCAUAUAGGUUUCAAGAGGAAGGAUGGGUUUUGAUUUGUUGUGGUUUAUAUCUCACUGGAUGCACUCACACACUUUAUAGGUCCCUUAAGAAAAAGGGCUCUGAUACCACUUUGUAGGUUUUUAGAGUAAGAAUAGAAAACACAGAAAAUUUGGGGCUGAAAAUUGCACACCUUUUGUUGCUUCAAAAUCUGAAUUUAUGAAGGAAAAGAAACAAACAAAGCCAAAAAAAUCUUCCUACAUAUCUUCAACAGAUUUCUAAUAGCAUUACUAAGUUAAAUAUGAAUUCAAAAAAAAAAAUUCAAACUAAACUAAAAACUGUUCCUCUAUCUUGCAGAAUAUUCUCAAUAGAAUUUUGGUUUAUUUUAGCUUAAAUUCUGCAGCAAAUAUAACACUUGUCAUCAAUUCCUCUGUUGGUGGUUAUGAUAUCGGAGUUACCCCAGGUUUUUCUAUCAUGAGGAGAUUCAUUUUGCUUCUCAGACCAGUCUCAUUGACUCAAAUAACCAUCAAACGGUGAUAGAUUCUCAACUGUAGUGCAACAUGAUUGAGUCGAAGAAUCCAAGGUCGAUUAGUCAUCAUUCUCAGUCUCAGUAGCAUGAAUUCAUUUUCUUCCUUUUGGGCAAAGAUAUUGAUGACCAUUGUGAUUACCCACCCUAAUAAUAGCAACCUCAGCCACUUUCAACUCACUCCCACAUAGAGGACUGGGGAAAAUCAAAUAACCAUUCCAAUGUAAUAACUGGAUAUCGAAGGACAUGGUUAACCUUGUCAUCUGAUUCCAAGUGUGACCCUUGUCCCAUAAAACAGAAAUCUUUAAUUCGCUUUCUCAAUUUCCUUGGAUGACAUCUCAUUUCCAUGGUAGUGUACAAGUCAGUGGCAUCAGUAAGUAUAUCUUAAGGGACUUGAUGUCUGAAGCUGCUGUGUUCUUGUUUCUCUGUAUUUUAACGAAAGCCUUUUCUCUGUACUUAUUUUUAUAUACUUACUAAUGAAAUUUCCAUGUAUCAAUUCUCAAGUGUACUGAUGGAAAUACUGAAGUGUGAUUUGCUUAGCUGUAAAACUUGCAACUAGAUUUAUCUGCUCGUUAAGUCGGUAAGUGAACUUUUGUGAGCUGGCUUGUCCUAUGCACAGGGAGUUUCCUCUUUAUUGCUUUAACAGAAAUGGCAUGUCCCAAAUAAAAGUGAAUCUUCCAUUCCAGUAGCUAACAUGACAUGUCUUCUGAAAAAGUUCCCUAUUACUAUUUGGUGGGGUUUUGAGUUGGUUCCUGCCCUACCAAACAUAGGUCUCUUCUUUUGUGCCAAAAUUCACAGGAUCUGAUAUAUGCUUCUCCCUCAAACCAUAAUAAAGACCAUCUGUGAAAAAGGACCAAAAUUUCAUGAUUUCUUUCUUUACUAUUGUCUUCACAAGUUCUCACUUCUCACUGAGAUUUAGGAUUAUGAAUCUUGCUGGGGUCUCUUGGAUGUUGUGAUGGAUGAAAAGGGUGGAACACCUCUUUUCCUUAAAAUCUAAGGAUGAGGAGAAGAGGGAUGAUAAAAAGACUGCUAAAAGGCUUGAGAUAGGCACAUGGAUGAUAAAAAGAGUGAUAAAAAGCUUGAGAUAAGCACAUGAAUGAUAAAAAGACAGCUGCAAAGCUUGCGAUAAGCACAAGGCAGGUUGGUCCUAUCAGGUUUAUGCAUAGUGAGUUUUCCUUUUAUGACCACUUUAAUCAACUCUUGACUUCAUAGGUCGAUCUUUCUUUAGGGGCUUUUCCUUUUCCUCGCACCCAAAGUGUCUAUGAAUUUCAUUCUCCUGUGAACCCAAGUUCUCAAGAGUUUCUUGUCCAGAAGAGGUCUGGUUGUUCCCACAAUUUCCGUGAAUUCCAUCCUGAGUUGUAUGAUCCCCAAUGUCUGGGUAAUUCCUGAGAAGUACUGACUGAAUUCCAGGGAAUAGAAGAACAAAGAGGCUGUUUGAUUUGGUGGUUAGAUGCAAUCUUCCUUUAUGAAACCAUUAAAAUAUCUUUUGUUUUAGCUUGUAAUUUGGUUGACGUAAAGCCUUCUCAUUUCCCUUUUUCUUAUAGUAUUAAAAGAGGGCUAGCAUCAGAAAGCUACAAUGCCAGCUCAAAAGGCUUCAUCUUCACAUACUCUGAGUCAUCUUCCCUUUUUCUCAUUUCCCUUUUUAUUAUGUCCCACCAUAUUUAACCAGAUAAACCUUUCUUUUGAUCUCUUGGAAAAUUGAACAAAAGAAGAAUAGGUCCUUGCAUAGCCUUACAAAAAAGACCGAACAUACCCCGUCAUCUCAGACUAUUUUUUAUUAGAAUUUAUUUUUUCCUGAAGCUCAGGUCUGUGCCUUUAUUCUUGUUUAUGAGCAACGGAUGAGUCAUCAACCAGAAGUUGAAGAUUCACCCACCAUUUUUGUCCCUUUAAAUACACCUGCAUUGUACAGGGUUGAUCAACUCAAAGGGUUUUUGCAAUCUCUGGAAAGUUGAGCAUUCUAGACCACUUGUUGCAGACUGAAUUGCAGCACUUUCAGAAAUAUGAAGAGCCAACUCCAAGAACAUGUUAUCGGAAUCCCAGUCAGCUGCCAAUAUGAUAAGCCAUCUCUUUCAAAUGGCCCUGGGGCAAUCAUCCAAAGUAAAACCCUCUCUCUAUCUCUUUCCACUCUGCGUAUCAGUUGUUAGUUAUAGAAGACUUUAAAAUAGAAGUCAUUUUGCUAAUGGGCUUGUCUUGAAAUUGCAGAAAAAUGGGAUUCCACAAAUUACAGGAUAAAAAAAAACAGGAAGAAGGCAGACAAUUUUGUGGAUGGAGUCCGAGAGCAUGGUGAGUUGCUAACUGUUACUUUUUUGCUACAGUUACGAUUAAGAAUCAUUAACAUUCUGAUUUUAACAUUCAUUUGUGAAACUGCAGUGAGAUUAGGGCCUAAGUUCUCUGAAACGGUGAAGGGAAAGUUGAGCUUGGGGGCUAGGAUUCUUCAAGUUGGAGGAGUGAAGAGAGUUUUCAAGCAAAUUUUUGGUGUUGAAGGAGAGAAGCUGUUGAAGGCUUCCCAAUGCUACUUAUCAACAACAGGAGGCCCUAUAGCUGGUCUCCUCUUUAUCUCUUCUCAGAGGAUUGCCUUUUGCAGUGAUAGAUCAAUCAAAUUCUCUUCUCCAAAUGGUGAAUUGAUUAGGAUCCAUUACAAGGUGGGCUACUCACAUAAAUCUCUCUAGGUCAACUGAUCUCCCUUUCCUUGUUUGCUAACAUUUAUGUAAAUUCAUUUUCUUUUGUGCAGGUCUCUAUCCCACUGAGAAAGAUAAAAAGAGCCAACCAAAGCGAGAAUGUGAAAAAUCCAUCUCAGAAGUACAUGGAAAUCGUUACUGUGGAUAACUUUGACUUCUGGUUUAUGGGAUUCUUGAAUUAUCAGAAAGCUUUCAGCUACCUCCAACAGGCACUCUGUGAAGCGCAGAAUCUGGUUGAGAAGUGAUUCAAAGUUUCUUCCCCCAACUUCUACAAAUGUAUUUACAUGAAUCUGAUAAGGAUCUGUACAGUCAGAGGCUUUGUACAAAUUUUUUGCUAAUGAGAAAUUGAUCUCCAAUUUUUCAACCAUAUUUUCUAUUCAGUGCAUGGAACAAGUUCUUCCAAAGUGACUAUUGUUUUAGUACUAUAGUAGCUAUGCUAUCACAUAAACCCCAGCUCUUUAUGUUGUGUCUGUUGUAUUAUAUGCUGUAUGACACAUUCCAUUGCUUCUUGUCAAAUGUGUUCUGGUGUAGUAUGAAGACAUAAUACCUGAGGAAACAGAUUAACAAUAGCUUUUGUUGAGUUACAGGAAUUGAAUGAAUCUCUGACUUCCAAAACCAUAUACAGAGUGAUAUCCAACCUCAAGUAUUUUUGCAGAAGCUUUUACUAGGACAAAUAGGCUUACUUUCUUCUAUAAGAUCUUGAGUUAGGCCACCUCUGGUGAAUCAGACCAGGUGAGCUGUCUUGUAAUGAGGAAGCCUUUACUUUAGCCAGCUUCGGCACUUCCUUUUUGGCAAUCCCAUUUCUAAGAAACUUGAGACACCAAUCGAUACCCUCAUAAAAGCCUAUGGAAUUCAUUGGUCUUGGAAACAUAUUGUUGAGUUUUAUGUGAAUUAAACUACCUUAUCAUUGUACUCAGCUCCAUACUUUUAUGAACAGAUUAAUCACAUUGAAUUAUAAUUUCAUCAGUAAAACGAUACAUUGAGUUUCCGAAGUCCAUUAAAUUAUAAUAUCUGAAAAUUCUAUGACUUCCAAUGCCUAAGGUAGCUGUUAGCACCAUUUUGAGUCAUGGGACCUCCAAUCCCUUAAACUAUGACAUCAAACUCCCCCAAUUUUAUCGUUUACACUCUGUUAGGAGUCUGAAUUUAUGGAAAUUGGGUCAAUAAAAGCAUCCCAACUGGAGGUGAUUCCCAGAAAUUGCUGAUGUCCUUCCAGCGAAUACAAGAAUCCCAUUCAACAUUCAACCAUUUAGGACAAAUUAGUCAUCGGUUUGGUAGUUGGAUGUAAUCUCCCAUAGAUGACAGUAUGACAGACAAUCAUCAUUUAUUGAAAAAUCAUUACAGUAUCUAAUCUUUCACCCUGUAAUUCAGGUGAUAUAAUGAUAAAUUUGCUUAGCAAAUGUCUUUUUCACUUUCCAUUUUUUUUACUAGGAUCACAAGGCAAAUUGGCUGGCUCAAAGUGCUUCAUUGACAUAUCCAUAUAUAGCCAGCAUAAGAAAAAGGAGUAAAAUAUAGUGUUAGGAUAGAACUAUUGAACUCUAACCAAUGAAUCAAAGAUUAUAGAUCACUCAAAAGAAGACAGAUACUCCUUCCCUCUUUUGGGAAGUUGAAGUUGUUUCAGGGCAUUCUUUUCAAACUGUAGAUAAGUAGAUUCCAUGAAUAAUAGGACUAGAAAAUAUGGGAAAAUGGUGAAAGUUUUUGUGCUUGGAGCUUGAGAGCAUUGUAAGUCUUUCUUUCUUUUAUUCUUCAACCAGAUUUUCCGUUUGGUUUAUGGAAAAAUGGAGGAAAAUUAUAGAAAACCUUGAGACCAUUGGAAUGAGGGCUGGAAAGAUAGUUACAUGAUGGAAUUUUCUUUCAUCUCCUCUGGGUUCUCAACAACCAAACAGAAUUUUGUGAAACUUCAGUGAGACUGGGGCCUAAGAUCUCUAAAACUGUGAAGGGGAAGUUGAGGUUGCAGGCUGGGAGUCUUCAAAUAGAAGGGGUUAAGAGUGUUUUCAAGAAAACUUUCAGUGUUGGAAAAGAGGAGAGGCUGUUGAAGGCUUCUUCCCCAAGAAUGCCUGUUAAAGAAUUCUGGCUUCUGUUUCACAGGUUUUUGAAUUAUCAGAAAGCUUUCAACUAUCUUCAACAAGCAAUCUCUUAAGCUUUAAAUCCACUCAAAAAGUGAUUCAAACUGAUACAUUUCUUCCCCUCUGCUUCACUGAUGUGCUUGGCUCUGCAUAGGCCAUUCUUUAACCGUUUUUUUUCCAGAAGUAUAUACCAUGAGUCACUCUGGAGUAAUUGCUAUUUUAGAAGUUUUUUUCAUGCUGGAAAAGCUGGCUAUAGAGCUGAACUAAUGCAAUUCCAAAGGAGUUUGCUCUAUAUUGCCCUGCCUGAAUCAGUUAUAGUUCCCUGAUUACCGUGAAUCUGAAGUGAUCAAUCAACAUGAUCAUGACUUUUAAUCCUCAAAAUAAUAUUGAACACCCUCUUCCAGACAUCUAGACUUCACAACAGUAAAAAAAUUGAAAAUCCCGGAGUUGAAUUUGAGCAUGACAGUGGGAAAUGGAGCUGAUGUGGCUAUGAUGCAGUGACUCUUCUUUUUCCAAAAAUACCUAAUAUUCAUGUCAUCCUUCAUCAGCAGUGUGACGUUUAAAGGCAGCCUUAUAUUCCUUCACUAACUUUCUAUGGUUUAAUGUAGAGAUUUGUAUUCAGAAAAAGUUGAAGAAUCUUUAGUUAACAUGGCCUGCUACUGGUUUUUCUUAACAGGUAAGGAUGAGGAUACAAGAAUGAUAAAGAUAACUGAAAAAAAAAGCUUGGGAUAAGCAAUAUGGCAAGCUGGUCCUAUCAGCUCUGUGACUUGUGAGUUUCAUCAGCUAAAUUGAGAAGAGCACUUGCAUCACAAAGCAAAAGUGCCAGCUCAAAAAGCUUCACUAACACAUCAACACAGGGUCAGGUUAAUAAAGUAGGUUAACAUAUCAAGCUUGUUAGGAUUGAAUGAUUGAAGAACUAACCAUAAAUAAGUGUGACAUAUAUAGAAAAUAACUGAAAAGAUCCUCUUCUUGAUUAUCUUUUAGUUAAAGAAAGCUUAUUUAUAGAGGUGGCGUAUGGCCUUUAGUCAUGUUGAUGAACCAUAGACUUCAGAAUUUAUUCAAGUCAUAAGUUUCCUCCCUCCCGUUUCAACAAAUGUAUUUACAUGAACCUGAUAAAACUCUGCACAGUCAAAGGCUUUGUACAAAUUGUUUUGUUAAUGAGAAAUUGAUCUCCAAUUCUUCAACCGCUUAUAUUCUACUUGUGCACAGAACAAGGUCUUCCAAAGUGAUAUUGUGCUAGUACUUGAGUAGCCAUGCCAUAUGACACAUUCCAUUGCUCUAAGUCAAAUGACAUAUGGCAUAGUCAAGUCUCUUGUACUAUGUGCAUAUGACAUAUUCCAUUGAUCCUAAUCAAAUGUACUACGAAGAUGUAUACCUAGGGAAACAGAUUCUCAAUUGGGUUUGUUGAGUUAUAGGAAUUGAAUGAAGUGAUAUCCAACCUCAAAGUGACUUUUGUCAUACACAAGCUAUUUUGCAACAAAAGAAAAGCUUGGCAAGACUAGUGGUCUUGCAUAGAUGCUUAAAGGGUUCAGCUGUUGGAAAGUUCAACCUUCUACGUUCGUCCCAUCACCAACCUCCGUGUGUCAUAUCACAAUAUCACAAAGACAAGAGGCUCUAAACUCCCAACCCCUCCACUUGACCUUCCCAAAACUCCUCUUUAACCAACAUACUGACUCCUUUUCAACUGUACCUCCUAGGAACUCUACCCACUACCACUUGCUCCUGUUGUGCCAUGUUUCCACUCAGCCAAAUCAUCUUCCCUUCUCAUGUGCUUUUCUCCCUAGCCACCUUUCAUACCAUAAUCUCUCCUUUUUCUCCGGGAUGAAUCUCUCUUUAACGCCAAGCUGCAAUUUCCUCUGACAUGAAAACUGCCAAUAUCGAAAUAGCUAAAAAGUGAUUAAAAUGAGGGUGAGGCAAUAGCAUACAAACUCAAGACACUUGCAUAUUGGGGCAUACGAUCAAUUAUUGGUUUCUAGCUCAAUUGGCAAGGGUCAAUUUGGAGCAGGGCUAUAUGCAAACCAAGAUAUUUCAAUUAUCAUGAGAUGCUUAAGAGAAACUUUCCUUUGGUCAUGGUUGUGUUAUGGCAGUUUGGAAGAACUAAUCAGUUCUUCCACUUAAUGUCAGAAUUUCCCUUUUACAUUUUGAUUUUCUAAGAAGUUUGCAUGAAAAUACCCCCAACUUUUCUAAUCAUAAGGAGAUUCAGAUUUGUCUCUUGGGACAAGUCUCAUUGUCUCUAGGAAGCAUCAAACAAUGCCAGAUUCUCAACUGCAGUGCAAGGUCAUUACGUCAAACAAUCCAAGAUUGAUUAGUCAAGCUUGUCUCUUUUGGGUUGAGAUAUUGAUGUUGAUUGUUAUAACCACUGGCAAACAAAAACACUAAUAGCUAUCUCAAGCAAUUUCAUCUUCUUUCCAAAUUGGACUAGGGAAAAUCAAAUAGCAAUUCCAAUGUCAUAAUUGGAUAUUAAACUACAUGAUCAAUCUUGUCAUCUGAUUCCAAGUGUGCCAGUUGUCCCAUGAAACAGAAAUUGGAGGACAUCUCAUUUCUUGGGAAUCAAAGUAUUCACAACAACUUCAGGUUCAUCUACUGGGGUAAUGCACAAGUCAAUUGAUUAGUUAUGAGAAUGUUUAAUUUACAUUUCUCUUUGUAAUUCUUAAAACAUAUGACUUUCCUGACCACUAUCGGUUGUUUUGUAUCAAUCAGGCUGCACUGAUUAUUGCUACCAGACUAUGAAGAGACAGGGGAAACAUGUUGUAUUGUCAUCUGAAUAGAGAUUCAAUCUGUUUUCAUUGAGACGAUGAACACGGAUACAAGCCAUCAGUUUGUUAUUGUCCCACAAAGUCCUCUAUCGAGACCAGUUCAGGGCAUUCAAGAUGUUCACAUGGGUGCUUGAGUGGAGUGUUAAGCUGGUAUGGCAUGCUGAGUUAGGACUUGAAAGAAGAAUGUCAUUAGCUUAAGACUGAUGAAUUGUAUUUCAAUUAUGAUUGUGGGAACUUUGUAAUUGGUGAAACUGUUGAUGAAAAAGAAAGUUCUUGUCCUGUAACAUGUGUGAAUUUAUAUUCUUUUCCUCUUAUGUUACAUUUGAUUAUAUCUUAAGGCACUUGAAUGUCAUAGGCUGUUGUGUGUGUUCCUCUGUAAGUUAUGAAAAGCCUUGUCUGUAAUUGGUUUUAUAAACUUAUAAUGAAUGUUAUACAUUUCUAUGUGUCCAUUCUCAGGCCUACUGAUUGAAAUACCAAAGCAUAACUUGCUUGUCUAUCGAACUUGGAACUAGAUUUGUCUGCUUUUCAAGUUGGUGAGUUUACUUAGAAGGGCUGGCUCUUCCUAUGCACAGGGAGUUUCCUUUCUAUUGCUUUUAUAGAAAUGGCAAGUCCCAAAUAAAAGUGAAUCUUCCCUUCCAGCAGCUAACAUGUCAUGCCUGCCAAAAAAGUAGCCAUUAUUAUCUGGUGGGGUUUUGUCUUACCAAUAUUAGGUCUCAUUUUUGUGUCAAAAUUCAUAGAAUCUGAAUUAUGCUUCUCCCCUUAAACAAUACUAAAGACCACCUGAGGAACAAGACCAAAAUUUUGAUGAUGUCUUUCUUUACUAUUAUUUAUUUUUUUACUGGCACCAAUUUUCGUGGACCCCCUUUGUUCCAGUCUCCAAACUUCACAAGUUCUCAUUGAGAUUUAGGAUAAUGAAUCAUGCUGGAGUCCCUUAAAGCAAGGCAAGGGGCCUCCCAAAUCCACAACAUCAGUAUCCUGUGGGGGAUAAAGGAUUCAUUAUGAAUCUUGCUGGGGUCCCAUGGAUGUUGUGAUAUAUGAAAGAUUCAUUGUAUUGUUCAUCAAAACUGUGUCGUUCAACAUAGGCCUUAGACUCUAAAAUUUUUUGUGGUUUUGUGUAGAGAUUGACAUUUGGAAAAGGGUGAAGCAUCAUUAAUUAGCCCGGUUUACAACCCCUUUUCCUCAAAAUCUAAGGAUGAGGAUAAAAGGGAAGAUAAAAGGACUGCUAAAAAGCAGUAGCACAUGGUAGGUUGGUCCUAUCAGGUUUAUGAAUAGUGAGUUUUCCUUCUUUGAGGGUCUUUCCUUUCUUCACAUGGGAAAUCUCCAAGAAUUUCGUUCUUCCGUGAAUCCAAGAUAUCAAGAGUUUUUUUUGUCUAGAACAGGUCUGGUUGUUCCCACGAUUGUUGUGAACUCCAUCUUGAGCUGUAGAAUCACGAAUGUCCGAGCAAUUCCUGAGAUCUUGCGUCUGAGUCCCAUUCCAUUUUCAACCUUCUAGAACAAAGAGGCUGUUUAGUUUGGUAGUUAUUUUCAAUCUUCCUCUGUGAAACCAUUAAAAUAUCUUAUCUUGCAGCUUGUAAUUUGGUUGAUGUAAUGCCUUCUCAUUUCCCCUUUUUCAUAUAGAAUUAAAAGAGGUCUGGCAUCAGAAAGCUAAAAGGCCAGCUCAAAAAGAUGCAUCUUCAUGUACUCUGAGUCAGCUUAAAAAAAGGAAGACUGAACUGCUGACCAAAUAUAUAAUAUUAUUUAUGUGUCCAACCGUAUUUAACCAAAUAUACCUUUCUUGCAAUUUCUUGGAGGAUUGAACAAAAGAAGAAUAGGUCCUUCUUACAAUAGCUUUUCAAAAAUGGCCGAGCACACCGUCAUCUCAGACUGUUUUUAAGUAGAGUUAUUUUUUCAAAAAGCUCAUGCCUGUGCUUUUAUUCAUGUUGAUGAGCAACGGAUGAGUCAUCAACUAAAAGUUAAAACAUUCACCCACCAUUUCUAUCCCUUUAAAUGCACAUGCAUUUUACAGGUUUCUUCAAUCUCUUGAAAGUAGAGCAUUCAAGGCUUACUUGUUGCAGACAAGUCAGUUGGAGAUAGAGAUGCUGAAUUGCAGCACUUCUAGAAAUAUGAAGAACCAGCUCCAAGAACACAGUAUUGGAAUCCCAGUCAGCUGCCAAUACGAUAAGCCAUCUCCCCCAAAUGGCUCUGGGGCAAUAAUUCCAAGUAAAACUCUUUUUUUCACUUUGUUUAUCAGUUGUUUUAGUUAUAGAGGACUUCAGAAUGGAAGUUGUUUUACCAAUGGGUUUGUCUUGAAAUUGCAGAAAAAAUGAAUUCAAUGAAUUAUAGGAUGAACAAUAACAGGAAGAAGGCAGACAAUUUAUUGGAUGGAGUCCGAGAGUAUGGUAAGUUUGUAACUGUUUCUUUUUUGCUACAGUUUAUUUAAGAAUCAUGAACAUCCUGAUUUUAACCAUCUUUCAUUUAUAAAACUGCAGUGAGAAUAGGGCUUAAGUUCUCUGAAACCGUGAAGGGAAAGUUGAGCUUGGGGGCUAGGAUUCUUCAACUUGGGGGAGUGAAAAGAGUUUUCAGGCAAAAUUUUGGUGUUAGAGAAGGAGAAAAGCUAUUGAAGGUUUCCCCAUGUUAUUUAUCGACAACAGCAGGCCCUAUAGCUGGCCUCCUCUUUAUCUCUACUCAAAGAGUUGCCUUUUAUAGUGAAAGAUCAAUCAAAUUUUCUUCUCCAAAUGGUGAAUUAGUUAGAAUCCAUUACAAGGUGGGUUACUCACAUGACUCUCUCUAUGUCAACCCAUCUCUCUUUCCAUGAUUUUUGAACAUCUAAGUAAAUUCAUUUUCUUUUGUGCAGGUCUCUAUCCCACUAAGAAAGAUAAAGAGAGCCAAUCAAAGCAAGAAUGUGAAAAAACCUUCUCAGAAGUACAUGGAAAUUGUUACUGUGGAUAACUUUGACUUCUGGUUUAUGGGAUUCUUGAAUUACCAGAAAGCUUUUAGCUAUCUUCGACAGGCAAUCUCUCAAGUGCAUAAUCCAGUCCAGAAGUGAUUCAAGCCAAUAAGUUCUUCCUUCCCACUUCAACAAAUGUAAUUACACGAACCUGAUGAAGCUCUGCACAAUCAAAGGCUUUGUACAAAUCUUUUUUUGUUAAUGAGAAAUUGAUCUCCAAUUCUUCAACCCUUAUUUUCUACUCAGUCAUAGAGCAAGUUGUUCCAAAGUGAUAAUUGUGCUUUAACUUGAGUAGCUUGGGGAGAUGAAAUAUUUCAUCUUCCCAAGGUUCUCAACAACCAAACACAAUUUUCUGAAACUGUGAAAACUGUGAAAAAGAAGUUGAGUUUGGGGCCUAGGAUUCUUCAAAUAGGAGGAUUUACAAUAGUUUUCAUGCAAAUUUUCAGUGUUGAAAAAAAAGCUGUUGAAAGAUUCUGACUUUUGGUUUAUAAGGUUUGUGAAUUAUCAGAAAGAUUUCAACUAUCUUCAACAAGCAACCUCUCAAGCAUGGAAUCCACUAUAAAAGAAAAGUGGCUCAAGCCAAUACAUUUCUUCCCCUCUGCUUCGUCUGAUAUUGUUAGCAAGAGCCCAACAAAGCUCCAAACAUACAAUUUUUUUAUCGUUGCUUUUCCAUGAGUUGAUAGAAUCAGUUAUUCUAGGGUUGUUCACUGGUAGCCAUGACUUUUGAUCCUUCAAAACAAUAUUGAACAUCCUCAUCCUUUUAGUCAUCUAGACUUCACAAGUUCUCCCUGAGACUGAAGGAGUUCAAAAGAAUUCAACUAGUAAUCAUUCCUCCACACCCCUCCACAAGCUUGUUGAAGUUGCACUUGCCCAGACCUAAAUAGAAGGUAAUGCAACCAUUGUCAUUGUCUGUAAGACUGUAACUAAUACCUAUGUUUCCAUUCUUGGCAACUUCUCUCAUGAGUGUCUAAACUUAAAACUAACAGACCAGGAACUGGCACAUAUAUGGGGCAGGCCAUAUAGACACUGUAUGGACUGCAAAUCCUGGUUUGAUUUAUGCUGGAGAGGCAGAUUACGUCAUUAGUUUUUAACUAAAACAUUGGUGUAUUUUAACAACAAAGAGGACAAUGUUUCCCUUCAUAUAUCCUGAAUCCAUGUAAAUAAACUUUCACUACUGAACUUGGGUGUAACUAGUUUACAGAGUUAUCAAUGAGGUGGGACCAAGUAAUGACCACCCCAACAUUGGAUCCGCAAUUUUUCUGCAACUCUUAAAAAUACAGUGGUUCAAACACUAGAUUCCAAGCAAGACUUGGGAGCAAUGGUAAAUGAAGCAAGACCUAGGAACAAUUCAAGCAAAAUUAGGAGUAACCCCCAAAACAAAUAGUUGAAAAUGGAAAUACUAAUAUGACAAUGAAUUUUCAUUGAAUGAAUGCUGAUUACAAAUUUACAGUUUGUAAGAAUAGUAUAAAGAGAAUUCUUCGAUGAUCAUAUUCACAAGCUACUAAAAGCCUCUAUACAGUUUUCAAUAGAAAUAUCAUGAACAUGAAGGAACAAAACAAGAAACAGAGAAUGGCUUUAUGGAGAUGACAGCUGCCUUCCAUCAUUCAGGAUGCCAAUGAAGUUGGCUCCGCCUGCCAUUUCCAAACAUCAACUUGUCCAGUUCCAUCCCCAAUGAAAAAGAGUCCCCCAGGACCUAUUUGAAUCGCUCGGACUUCUUCCUUUGCAAAAAUCCUGGCCCUCUCGGUGAAUCUAUGCCACAACAUAUAAAAUUAGUCCACCAAGGAGCAAGGAAGAAUAAUGGAAUUAUGAAGAGAAAUACAACCUAGAAAGUAAUGGUUAUACUCACGAUGGUAAUUCAUAUAGCCGAACAGAAUUGUCAUUGCAAGAGCACAACAAUAUUGGUUUUCCUUCUGAAUCGAACAUACCGAAAAGUGCAAGCACACCCUGUAACAAGAAGCAGAAUAUAACAACAUUAUAACAGAAAUAUAUCAGCAGUACCGCUCACAUUCCCUUGAUAAAAAGGUUCCUAGAAGCAAACCAAAAUCCACCAUGCAUAAAUUAAGAUUUAAAAAGAAAUGAAUGACAAUAACUUACAUGUUCUUCAUUAUGUGUAUAGGUCACUUCCAAGUUGCCAGCUUCAGUAGCAAACCAAACCUAAACCAAAACAAGUAUCAGAACAGACAUCCAGUCUAAUAUCCAUGGUGAAUGUAAUAAUUGUAAUCAGAAAUGAAACUGACCUUGAUUGUUUGGUCCAAUGAACAUGAUAUCAAAUAGGGACCCCAGCAAACAAGAGACAUCACAACUGAUGCAUGCUCCUUCAGAGUAUGAAUACACUGUAAUGUAUUAAGAUCCCACACCUGAAAGGAAUAUAAUAAUCACUUUUGUAUACACAUUUUACCAAGAAAUAUUAUAAACCAUGACAAUGGAACAACUGAGCAGUGUUAAAGACUAUGAAGUCAAAUAACAUUAACUACAUAUUUUAAUGAACCAUGAAUUUUGCAAUUUGGAAAUUCAAAUAAUUUGUAUUACCAGUGACUGAUUUUUCCAGGACUCUAAUGUACAACAUGCUAUUACCAUUAAAGAGGAGAUUUGCGUAAUUGUCAUAUGCAAUGAUAAUAGAAGCUUUUGAAUUAACAAACCUAUUUCUGCUGAAGUUGCUCAAUUAAAUUGGCUUUCAAGUGCUAUUUUUCCAGUCCACAUACUUUGUAUAGAUUCGACUAUUUUGCAGUUUUCACAUAAUGGGAAAUGAUAAAACAAACACCCUUAAUAUAAAAACACAAGCUGACAUAUUUCCAAACCACUCUGCAUAGAAAAAUGAUAUAAUAGUACAUAAAAGAGCUUAAUUAAACCUACUCUUAUUGUAUUGUCCAUGGAACCAGAAUAUAGCCUCCCACCACCAACUGUGAGCGAAACCACAGCACAAUUGUGGCCUCCCAAUGUUGUAGCCAGCUCAAAAGCAUUGGUUUCCUUAUUGGGUUUCCAUGCAUAUAUAGUGCCAUUCUGCAGCACCAAAAAUUAAAAAUAAGAAAUAACUUUGUAGUGUGACCCCAACAUGUUGAAAUAGCGAAAGAGAAAAAAAAAAGUUGGACUCAAAUGUGCAAGUUCUUUCACACUGCCAUUUUCAGGUUGUAAAGCUGUAUGGGAAGUUGGGACUCCAUUAGUCAUUUACAGGGGUCAGAUGAUAUACUGAAUCAUUACCAUUCCUAAGAGCAGGACACAGAAAGUUACACCAGAUAUAAGGAGUCAUCAAGAAAUUUACCUCUGCCCCUGCGAAGAGCAUAUCAUGAUCCACCACCAUAGCAUAAAUUUGCCCAACUGGUCCAUCCAGAGAGAGAUCGGCACAAGACUCAAUAUUCCAUGCCUGAAACAUUACCAGCAUAGAUUUGAUCAGAUACAUCAAAUUAUAAUCAAACUGAAUUGAACAAACAAAUUGAAGAGAAAAGGAAUAAGAUGUGUUUCAAUCUUACCUUAACAACAUCUUUUAUUCCAGCAAAUAGCCAAGGGCCUGCACUGAUUAAGGACCCAAUUUCCCCUCCAAGAUUGACCACACCAUCACAUUGACCAGUAUGGCAGUCCCAAACCCGUAUAUACCCAUCUCUACUGGCAGUAUAGAGCUUCUCUGAGCCAGAAGGAAGCACAAUUCCUGAGAUAGCCUGAACAAAGAAAAAAAAUUCUCAUGGAUAAGAUGUUGUUCAAUUUAACCAAUUAACAAAAGCACCAUCUUAAUUACUGCACCAACUACCUUGAUGUGCCCAUUAAGCUCGGCCAACUUGAAAACCCCAUGGCCCUUAAACCAUGAAUGGAGAUACUGGCACUUAUCUGCCUUCACACAAUUUCCAUGUAGCCAGUACUUGCAGACCCUUUCUCCAAUUACUUUCUGUGUAAUUCCAUUUCCAGCGCUACUUCCUGAUCUUGUUGGACUUGAUGAACACCUUAGAUUAGUUGAGUCCCAUUCACCCUUUUUGUCAGAAUAGAGAGUCCCCUCCCUGUUGUUUCUAUGGGAUUGAUUUGAAGCUGAUGAACGCUUCGGAGUUGUUGAACUUGAUGACCUAUCCAGACUCAUUAAACUUGAUGCACUCUUCGAAUCAGAGUCGGGAUUCCUCUGCCAGCAGUUUUUGCGGAACUGAUUUGAAACUUGAUAGUGGGUGUUUUGGGGCAAUUCUUGGUGCAGGAACCUACAACGGUUUCUGUUGCACCUCCCACGGAGCCAAUAGGAACAAACCAUGUUGUUCACAUGUCUUCUUCCCCUUUCAUUUUUGUCUCCAACCGAUCUUGAUGGCUUGAUGUCCAUGGCUAUAUCACAAAAAAUACAUAGGUAGAACAUAUAAGUUUGCUGCACCAAAAAAACCUUCAAAAUCCUAACAUCAACAUCGAGAAAACCCUUAAAUCUAUGAUCUUCAAUUUAAAACCCUCAGAAAUCCACCAUGAUCCUCAAUUUAAAACACUCAGAAAUCCACCACGAAUAGCUGCUAAACAUCAAUUAAAAUAAAAUAAUUUCAUCUCUUCACAUCCAUCAAACCCUUAACUUUCCAAUUCUUAAAAACUUCAAUCCAAAACCCAUAUCUAUCAGAAUCUUUAAAUUUCCGAUUCUCAAUUCAAAAUACCAAAUAAAUCCGCCAACCCAUCUUCGAUAUGAAUCAAAACCCUCAAGCAAAAACCCAAAACAUAAAUAAAGAAGCAAACCUGAAGAAGAAGAAGAAGAAGAAAACAAGAGAAGAAGGCGGUCUUCAGAGAGAACUACGCAAAAGUUAUCUACGAACUUGCUGUUUGUUCUUUAGCUCUUCUCUUUCUAUUUAUAGGCGCAAGUAAGCGCGGGAAUGUUUGAAAUUUGAAUUUCCGUUAAACGGGCGCGUACUCUUCACCUGACUUGAUCUGCCGUUAGGCGCCGCCGCCCCGCGUUAAGUAAAUAAAAAAUUACAAAAAAAAAAAAGAAAAAAAAAAUUGAAAAGAAAGAUUAGGAAUCAGUAGGAAAAUAACAAAAAAAAAUGGUUUAUAAUUUUUCAUUACAAGUAAAUUUUCUUGAAAAAUCAAUAUAUUUUAAUGGUCUAUAAAUUAAUAUAUUUUAUGUAGUAAUGGUUUUUUUCUCUAAUGUGAACAUUCAUAUCAAAAUUUUAUUAAUUAAAAAUAUUUAUCAAAAAUAUAUUUUAAUCUUUUUUAUAAUAAAUUUAUAAUAAUUAUUAAUAUUUACAUAAAUGAAACUAUUGUUUGAAUUAGUAAUUUUGGUUUUGUUUUGUUUUUGUUUUUGUUUUUUUUUUAUUUAAUUUCCAUGAAACUGCAAUUUGAAAGUAAGGUUUCAAUUUAAAUUUAUAGCCACAAUUUUAAUACUAAAACCAUAUUUUGAAACCUUAUUUUCAAAAUGUGAUUUUAAAUUUAUACUAGAACUGCUCCGCCGUCCCGCGUUAAGUAAAUAAAAAAGGGAGAAUUGUGUUUUCACCCCAGUUGGGGUGGAUACUUAAGCUAAAAUCCUCCUAUCACUCAUAAUUGAUUACAAGAAUAUGAGAUGAUAAUGGAUACAAAUACCCCUUUACUCAUUUUUGUCUUUAUUCUACCACUCUUUACAUGUCACUAUUAGCACAUUCUCUCUUCUUUAACCAUUUUUUAAUUUUUCAUUGGUUUUUUUAAACUUUUUUAUAAAUAAUUGAAAAAUCAAUAUUAUUUUAUAUUUUUAAAUUAUAAAUAAACAAAAAUUUUAUUGAUGAUUUAAAAACUAUUUUGAAAAAUACUUUCUAAAAAAUGUUAAUUUAAAUAAAUAAAAAUUAUCUUUUAUAUUUUAGAAGUAAAUAAUUUAAUGAUUAAAACACUAUUUAAAAUAAAUAUAUUCACUAUUUUAUUUUCUUUUAUACUAAAAAGUAUUUUAAAAUUUUCUUUUUCCUAUUAUAAAAUAAAAGUUUCAAUUUUUUAUUUUUUUAUUUUUUUAAAAAAUUCUUUCUUUCUUGUUUUAAUAACUUUUUGAAUAUAACUUUUAGUAAUAAGUUAUAUGAAAUGUUGUAAAUUUGUUUAAUAAAGAUUUUUUUAAUGAUUUGAAUUAAUUAAAAAUUUAUCCAAAAAAAAUGUAAAAGAGAGAAAUAGGAUGGAUGAAAAGUUUUUUAUUUUUAUUUUAAAGAUACAAUUAAAAUAUUUUUGUAUGACUUAAUUUUAGAAGUGAAUUAUAACUAUAUAUAGUAGAUAUUGAAUUUUUCUUAAAUAAAAGGGUUAAAAGGUAUAUUUACUCAUUUCAUAUAAAAAAAAUUAAAAAUUAUAUAGAUUGUGUUUGAGUUUGGUUUAAAAAUAUUUUUCUAGUUUUUAUUUUUUAUUUUUCUACUAUUUUUUUUUAAAUAAUUUUUAUUUUCUAUAUGGUCUCUUUUAGAAAAUAUGUUUAAUUAAAAAAUGAAAACUAUUUUUAAAAAUGAAAAUUGAAAACCUUGUUUAAUACUAUUUUUCAUAUGAAAAUAAUAAAAAGACUUAAAGAGUUUAAUCCUAAGUCAUACACGCUUUAUUUAACUUCCAUAUGGAAAUUUCCAUACUUUCUCCGGUAAUGAUGUUUGGAGAAAAAAAUUUGACCCCAAGUAAUCCACCAUUUUCUCAACCAAACCAUUGAAAAUAUGAUUAACACACUUACGUGAACACAUAACUUAGAGAGACAUGAAAUUUGUGUCAUUGUACAAGUGUAUUACACUAACUGUACAAUGAAAAUGUACUAAGUGUACAAGGGUGUAUAAGGCUACCUUUUGUAAAAGAUUUCAAUCGAUUAUGAACCACUCCAUUUUACUUUCCUUGUUGCCAACAUAUUGUACACUCAUGUCAUACACUUUAUUUAACUCUCACAUAAAAAUUUCAAUAUUUUCCCUAGUAAUGAUGUUUUGGGGAAAAAAAUUGACCCGGAGUCAUCCAAUAUUUUCUCAACCAAACAAUUAGAAACAUGGUUAACACACUUACAUGGAUACAUAAUUUAAAAGGAAUAUGAAAUUUGUAUUACUGUACAAGGGUGUUACAUUAACUGUACAAGGGUAUUACACUAAUUGUACAAGGGAAAUAUACUAAGUGUACAAGGAUGUACAAAGCUAGCAUUUGUGAAAAUUUUUAAUCAAUUAUGAAUUACUCCUUUAUUUUCCUUGUCAUCCAAGAAUUGUAUACUUAUUACACUAAUUGUACAAGGGAAAUAUACUAAGUGUACAAGGAUGUACGAGACUAGUAUUUGUGAAAAAAUUCAAUUGAUUAUAAAUUACUCCUUUAUUUUCCUUGUCGCCCAAAAAUUGUAUACUCAUGUCAUACGCUUUAUUUAAUUCUCAUAUGGAAAUUCAAAUAAUUUCCCCAAUAAUGAUGUUGGGGAAAAAAAAUUUAACCAUAAAUCAUCCACAAUUUUCUCAACCAAAUGAUUAAAAACAUGUUUAACACACCUACAUGGACACAUAACUUAGGAGGGAAAUGAAAUUUGCACCACCGUAUAAUAUUACACUAAUUGUACAGGGGGAAUGUGCCAAGUGUACAAGGGUGUACAGGACUCCUAAUAGGUUUUGUAUGAUUUUUAAUCAACUUGAGUUUGACAUUAGAACAAUUAUCCAUAGUUUUUUUUUUUUUCUCUUUUUUGUUUUUUUACCAAACUAUGCCAUUAAGACCAAUGAGAAAUAAUAUACAACAUAUUUAUUAUUUUUUAAGUAAGAAACAAAAAAAAUAUUUGCUAAGGUAUUUAAAAAAUAUUUAUUAUAUAUUUUAUAAGUUUGAAAAAAAAAAUUAAUGAUGUCUAAUUUGCAAGUUAGAACAAAUAAAGAAUACUAAUAUUUUAUGAGAUAUUUAAAAAUUGUUUAAUAUAUAUAAGAAAUAAUAUAAGUUUGAAAUAAAUAAUAAUAUUUAUUAUAUAUUAUGUAAGUUUGAAAAAAAGAAUAAUAUUUGAUAAGGUAUUUAAAAAUUAUUUACUUCAAAAAUGCAUUUGUCAAUAAUAAUUUUUAAUUAUUUAUCUUUCACAUUUAAUUUGUUGGAGAAAAAUAAUUGGUAAAUCAUUUAACUUGAUCCCACUAAUAAAUAAAUGAGAGAAGGGUGAAAAAGUCAAAGAAAGAAAAGAGAAAGGUAGGAGUGGCUCGUAGCUUUUUCAUUUGAUAGUUAAGGGUAUUUUAGGGAUUUUUGAAAGACAAUAUCCUUCUUUUCAAUUUCUAUUCUUUCCUUGGAUUUUGAAUUUAAUUAUAGGUAAUAGGAGGACCUUAUCUCAAUUAUCCAACCCAGCUGGGAUGGAAACACAAUUCUCCCAUAAAAAAUUACAAAAAAAAAGAGAGAAAGAUUAGGAAUCAGUAGGAAAAUAACAAAAAAAAAAAAAAGGUAUAUAAUUUUUCAUUACAAGUAAAUUUUUCUUGAAAAAUCAAUAUAUUUUAAUGGUUUAUAAAUUAAUAUAUUUUAUUGUAGUAAUGGUUUUUUUCUCUAAUGAGAACAUUCAUAUCAAAAUUUUAUUAAUUAAAAAUAUUUUUUAAUCUUUUUUAUAAUAAAUUUAUAAAUAAUUACUAAUAUUUACAUAAAUAAAAUAACAUAUAUAUCUGCAUAUCUCUCCAAAGACAUGAUAUCUCUCCAAAAGCAAAACAUUUUAGUUUUACCUCUCUCAUCGGUACUACAAUCUAUCUGCAUAUCUCUCACUAACACUGUGAGUACGUCUUUAUACACCAUUACUGCAACCCACUAUCACAAUUGAGGUAAUAGAAGUAGAGUAGAUUUAAAGAAAAACAUAUGGCGAGGUCGAAUGAAGGUAUGUAAACCCAUUUGGGAAAAAAAAAAUUACCUUAGUUUUGCUAUUCUCAACAUUAUUUGGUUGUAGGGAAAAAAAAUGAAAUUUUUAGAGUUAACAUGAGUGAUAUUUUUUGUUAAAAAGAUUUGUAUGAAAAGAGUAAAGUUCAUAUUUAACAUGUAAAAACUGGACGUAACUAGUGUUAAGUUCUUUAUAUAUAAAACUUGAAGAUAGUUGAGUACAGUUCAACAGGUUAAUCUACAACUUUGCAGGAUUGAGUUACUUAUCCAAAUAACUACUAUUUUAAUUUUGUAUUUUUGUAUCAAUAAUUCAAUUUAUUUGUUUGUUUUUGUUAUAGUGAUUGAUGAAGUGAGAAUAAUGCUUUUGUAUGAAGGAGAUUGGGUGCAAAAUGGAAACAUAUACUACUUUGAAGGUUUUCAAGGUAAAGGCAUUGAACUUAAGAAGACUACAACAUAUGAAGAAUUAUUGAAGAUUGUUUGUCACAUUUUGAAAGUAGAUCCAACAGAGCACAAUCUUUUGAUGAAGUAUGUAUUCAAUGGCAAUAUACCAUCCACUCCUAUACAACUAAGAGAUGAUGGAGAUGUGAAAAUUUUCAUUUGUUUAAAUUGUACUGAUGGUAAGUUGCCUAGUUCCAUUAUGUAUCACAAUAGAGAAAAGAAGUGCCAAUCAUGGGUAUGAAUCAAUCAUCAACAUUGAUUUUGGCUCUCAUGCUUUAUCUAGGAUUGAGAAAGAAAUCAAUAUGGACCCAAUAUUCAUAAAUAGUAGUGAAUCUUUGAGUGGUUUUGAUACUUAAUUGUUUUUAUUCUCAUAACUUGAAUAUGAACAAGGAUGAUGAAGAUGGUGGAAUGAAUUUCAACCCGAACAAGGAUAGCCAAGUAAUGCAAAUUGAUGUAAUGGAAAAAGCAGUAAUGGAAUAUGAAAGUCAUGCAGAAGAAAGCAUAGAGGAACCAUUUAUAAUUAAACUUGGUGACGACUACAUGGAAGAGCACUAAAUAUACUCCAAUAAGAAAGAAUUGCAGAAGAAGUUGUGCAUGAUUGCUAGAAAAUAAAGUUUCGGUUCAAAACAUUAAAAUCUUCGACUAAGUUAUUAUCUGUUGGAUAUGUCAAUAAAGAAUGCAAGUGGCGACUUCGUGCAAUCAAGUUGGGAAAUUAUGAUCUAUUUCAAAUAAGGAAAUAUCAUUCAACACGCACUUGUAGCUUGGAUAUGAUAUCCCGUGAUCAUCAUCAUGCAAGUAGUUGGUUGAUUGGUGAAAGCAUAAGAGAAAUAUAUCAAGGGGUCGGUCGUCAAUAUUGACCAAAAGACAUUGUAGCUGAUAUUCGAAACAAGUUCGGUGUGGGGAUAAGCUAUGAUAAGGCAUGGAGAGCUAGAGAAUUUGCUCUAAGUUCUAUUAGAGGAUCACCAGAGGAGUCCUAUAGUGCUUUACCAUCUUAUUGUUAUGUGUUGGAGCAAAAAAAUCCUUGCACCAUUACUAAUAUAGUUAUUGACCACGACAAUCAAUUUAAGUAUUUUUUUUAUGGCUCUUGGUGCAUGUAUUUCUAGGUUUCGUACAUCAAUAAGGCCUAUCAUUACAAUCGAUGGAACAUUUUAAGGAAAAGUACUUAGGAACUUUGUUUGUUGCUGCAUGUAAGGAUGGAAAUAAUCAGAUAUAUCCUUUAUGUUUUGGAAUUGGUGAUUCUGAAAAUGAUGCUUCUUGGGAAUGGUUCCUAAAAAAAUUGCAUGGAGCAAUUGGCCAUAUUGAUGAUCUCAUGGUGGUUUCAGAUCGUCACAAUAGCAUUGAAAAAGUUGUGCGAAAAGUUUUUCCUCAUGCAAGCCAUGGUGUGUGCACUUAUCACAUGAAGCAAAACCUCAAAACAAAGUUUAAAAAUGUUGAAGUCCAUAAGUUGUUUCAUGAUGCUGCUUAUACAUACCGUUUGUCAGAAUUCAAUGUUAUAUUUGGGCAACUACAAAUGAUUUCUCCAAGAGCAGCAACAUAUGUAAUAGAUGCAGAUGUUGAGCGAUGGGCACAUUCACAUUCUACCAAAAAAAGAUAUAACAUUAUGACCACAGGGAUUGCUGAAAGUUUGAAUGAUGUGUUAAAAGAUGCAAGAGAUCUUCCUAUUUUGCAGUUAAUUGAAGAGUUAAGAAAUUUACUUCAAAAAUGGUUUGCAAACCGUAAACAACAAGCAUUGUCAAUGACAAUUGAGCUAACAACAUAGGCUGAUGGAGAGCUUUGUGUAAGGUACAAUACAUCAUCAACAUAUGAAGUUGAAGCAAUCAACUCGAUGGAGUAUAAUGUUAAAUAUAAUGGUUUCAGUGAUCAUGUGAAUUUACAUAAUCAUUCAUGCACAUGUCGAUGUUUUGAUUUUGAUCACAUACCGUGUUCACAUGCUAUUGCUGCUUGUAGAUAUGCACAUACGUCAUGCUAUCCUUUAUGCUCCAAAUAUUACACAGUGAACUCAUUAUUAUCUUCAUAUGCUAAGUCCAUCUAUCCUCCUGGACAUCAAAGGGAUUGGAUGAUACCUGAUGAUGUAAGCAGUAGAGUUGUAUUACCAUCGAAAACAAGGCGACCAGCAGGAAGACCAAGGAAGGAAAGAAUCCCUUCAGGUGGAGAGGGUAAGCGCAGACGGCGGUGUGGUCGAUGUGGUGAUUAUGGUCAUAAUCAAAAGUCAUGCAAACGACCAAUCCCCCUGCAUUAUCAUAAUGAUAACAGUGGACACACUAAAAUAGGCAUGCAAGAUUGCUCCUUACAAUCAGAGAAUGAAUGAAACUGUCGCUAAGCCAAUUUUAUGGCGAAUUUUUUGUUGUUUUUUGUAGAUGAUGAUUGGGCAUAUAAAAGACUUGAUAUUGUAAUUUUUUUUGUAUUUUGUGAAUAGGGGCACAAAACAUGUAAUCGUACUUUGAUUCAGUCUCUUUUAAUUGAAUGAUGAACUUAAAGCUUAAAAAUGAAGUUUAAGUUCAUCCCUCAAUACCAACUCAUUUGAAAUGACAAGUGAACUCUUUAUUUUUUUAGAAUACUAGUCUAGUUAGUAUUUGAUCAUACAUAUUUGGAGAUGUUUUAAUCUUUUGUUAAUGUUAAGAUCAGACACAUUAUGUAUGUUGAGAUCAUUCAUAUAUGCAACUUUAAUUGAGGAUAUUCACCUAAACUGCACUAGGGUUAAUUUUCUUUUACAAAGAACUUAACAAUGGUUAAGUUUAAGAUAUAAAAACUUACCUGAAUGAAAGUGAAGUUAAGUUUUUAUACUAAAGAACUUAGUAAGAGUUAAGUUUUAAUUGAGGAUAUUAAACUAAACUGUACUAGGGUUAAGUUUAUUUUCCAAACAACUUAACAGUGGUUAAGUUUCAGUUAAAAAAAAUUACCUGAAUGAAACUAAAGUUAAGUUUUUUAAUAAAGAACUUAAUAGGAGUUAAGUUUUAAUCGAGGAUAUACACUUGAACUACACUAGGGUUAAGUCUAAUUUACAAGUAACUUAACACUCGUUAAGUUUGAAUUAAAACAAAUGUCCUGAACUUAACUGUAGUUAUGUUUUUUUAAUAAAGAACAUAGUAGAAGUUAAGUUUUAAUGGAGGAUGUUCACCUGAACUGCACUAGGGUUAAGUUUAUUUUACAAGUAACUUAACACUCGUUAAGUUUGAGUAAAAAAUAUAUGAGCUCUACAUUGAAAUAUAAGUUUCUGUUAUUAUGCUUACUACAAUAAAUUCAAACUUGUUAACAAUCAUAACACAGUCACAUUUAUAAAAAAAAAUUGCAACCAUUCAUUUCUUUGGAUGUAUAAAAAACAUGUACCUAUUUAAAUACGUGCUAUAACAUAGGAAUUUGCUAAACAAAAAACUUCAAUGUCAUUACAUAGAAACAUCUUCCAUUAUCCAAUUACAAUUCAUUUACAAUAGUAGGAUCACAUAGGAAGUUCUUUAUGGAAAAAUAACUCCACUGCCAUCUUCUCACGAAACCAAUAUGAUUACUACUCAAAAAGUGCUAUUUGAUAGCCUAUAAUUAAUCCUUUUAAACACUUUUGAGUAGUAGUUUUGGCCUUUUAACUCAAUUGGCAUGUUAAGGACCCUUGAUAGCAAUUUUAAUCACUUUGUGUAAGUUUUGGUGUUUUUGUUAGUAAUUUGAUCACCAAAGCAAUUCAAGAUUGAGGAGAGUGUUGAGGAAUCUUGGGCAAAGCUUGGAAGUCAUUUGCCAAGAGUGAAUCCGGAAUGCAAGGAGAAAAAGUAAAGAGAAUCUGCCAAGAAGCAUAUUCUUGAUGACAGUCGUAGCAGCCACUUUUGGAGCACUUUUUGAAGUCCAAUUGAUGCAUGAUAUAUACCAUUUCAAAGCUCAGGAAGUCAACAAUCCAAUUCUUCAAACGGUGCGCAAUUCGGAGUUGAAACGAAGAAGUUGCAGCCUUUGCAAGCCAAUCACUCCCAGUUGAAGGAAGCAUUUUCCAAAGUGUUGCGAAAUCACCCUUUUGUUGCGAAGUGAUUCCGCAGCCUUUUUGUACAGUAGGGUGUAUUUCCUCUUGAAGAUGCCCGACAUAUACCGCGAGAGGGAAGCUGGGAACCUCAAGUUGGAAGCCAACUUCGCAGCCCUGCGAAGAUAGCAUGUUGUUGCGAAAUGAUUUCGCAGCCCUCUUGAGUGUCUGCGAAAUCUCGCAGACACCAUUUUCUCUUGCGAAAUGGUUCCUGAAGCACCCCGAUAUUUGCUACCGACAUUUGGAGAUAUUUUACAUCAGAUUUUUGUUGUCUAAAUCCCAAAAUACUCCUUGUAAGCCACCAAUUACAUGAUUCCUUAGCUUUUAAGUUAGUAAAAAGAGAAAGUAUCUAUGUAAUAAUUAGUUUUAUAUUAUGUUCAUAUAUAUACCUCUCGGGAGCCUGUUCUCAGGGAGGAGAUCCUUUUGUAAAUGAUUCGAAUCAUGGUAGCUUAGCUUUAAAGGCGUAUCAACAAAAUUUAUACCUUAAAUACUAUUACUAAAGUAGCCAAGCUACUAUAGCAUAGUGGUUCUAGGAUCGUUCACUGGGAAGGGUUUUCGCAAACACAAGUGAUAUUAAAAUUAGGAAAAUAGGUGAUUUUCUUAUGAAUGUUAGCUUUAAAAGAAGAUGUAAAUGUUUUUAGAAAGAUUUAAACUAAUCUAAGCUAACAUUAAAGACUAAAAUGAAAGGGUGUAAAAACAAGUUUCUCAAAGAUAGGAUAGCUAUGCUCUGGCUCUUAUGCAAAUUGGAAAUCUCAGGAUAGGCUCCUCGCGUUGGGGUUGCAACUAUGGUGAUGCUUGCUUCCCGAACCGGUAUGGAUUUAGCAAAUCAAGUUUUAAUCCUUUAAAAUGGCAAAAAAGAUGGUAGUGAAUUUCAUCAAUGGUUAUUCACCUUAGACUUCCUUUGAAUGGCUCGUAAGAGAUAACCAAUGGUCUAAAGCCAAAAGCUUACCAAAUAUUGGCAACUCAAAGUCAUUCCAGGUGAUAAACUCACCUUUCAAUGGCCAUUGAAAUUGGUUCUAACGGAUUAAUGCAAAACUUGGAAUUGAAAACCUCACCUUCCAAUAGCUCGUAGGAGAUAACUAAUGGAUAGAAAUCCAAAAGCUUAUCAAGCAUUGGCCGUUGGAAGGUGUCCAAAGGAAAUAAAAACCAAACUUUGCAUUAAUGAACCUUUAAUGAAAAACGACUACCUUACCUUCCAGGUGCGAGAAAUUUCCAUGGGAUUGCAUCCAAGUCAUCACAUAACAUCCAUACUUUGAGAAACUAAAAGUUUUAGCCAAUCAUCCUCUGAGGAAAAGCCCUCAGAGGCUGUUUGGCUUCCAAGAAAAUAAAAUAGUAAAGAGAAAAGAGAAACGAGAGAGCUCUCUGUAAAACGUAACACGCUUGUUCUAUAUCUUCCAAGAGGUGAUUUCCACCCCUUAUAUAGUCUUUACAAAAGCAAAAGCUAGUGAUUGGUUAGUUACAAGGAUAAGAAAGGAAAUUACAUCAAAAAAUACAUAGGAAAAUAUCUAAAGUGGAGUCGGCAAAAACAGAGGAAAAUUCGCACCACGCAUGGACUAUGCGAAUUUGGAAGGUGUUGUGCGAAAUUUUCGCACAAGCCUGGAGCAAUUGUCUUCCGAAUGGCAUAUCUUCCUCAUUUCAGCUCCAAAUCAUACACGGUUUAAAGUGUUGGAUUCUUGACUUCCUGAGAUUUGAAAUGGUAUAUAGCAUCUAGAAAAUGGACUUCGGGAAGUGCUCCAAAAGUGCGAAAGAAGACUGCAGCUGCUGUCCUCUGUUUUCUUCACUUUGUUUUCCCCUUCUCCAUUGUUCUUUCCUUGCAUACUUUGAACGACUUUGGAAAAGGGAUAUGGAGCUCCAAAGCUUGGUUCUUCAUGAAUUUUAGCUUCCAAAAGCUUUGCCAUAACUUGUCCAAGUAGCUCCUCCAUCAUUUGGCAUGCUUGAAUUGAUUCAUAAGCUGAUAAAAACAUGUAAACUUGCCAUAAAAUGGUUAAAACCAAUUACUAAGGACCUUAAUGAAUUAAUUGGGUUAAAUGAAUAUGAUUACUACUCAAAAGUGCUUAAAACCAUUAUAAUUAGGUCUACAAAAUAACACUUUUUUGGUAGUAAUCAAUAAAGUUUUGGGUAAGCAAGUAAAGUUCAGUUCUUUGUAUUGCCUUACCUUAUCACUUUGUAUUUUUAUUUUCUUACUAAGUUAUGAACUCUCUGAGGAGUUUUCCCCAGAGAAUGAGUAACUAAACCUCUAGUUCCUUGGAGCUAAGGUUGCUGGGGAAGGUUCCAAGUGCAAGAAUGCAAAAGCUUUGUGGUUUUAGCUAGUAAUGAAGAGGAAGUGAAAUCCUUUAAUGAUUUCUAUGUUUUUAGUUAACUUAAAACACCUUAGAGUCACCUGGGCCAACACUUGGUAAGGCAAGUGAUUUCCAACCAUGGAAAUGCACUAGUUUACCCCUUGCGAGCCUCUGGGAGGUGACUUCAAGGUAGGAUUUUCUAGAAUAGCCAACACUUGGUAAGCUUUUGGACUCCUAGGAGACAUCCAUUAGUUAUCUCUUGCGAGCUUUUGACGGGUAAUCCAAGGUUGAAGAUCACCUUGAAUGGUUAAGGCUUAGUGAGAGGCUUAAACCAUUGCAAGUUGCAUCAGUGAGAGAAUUAAAGUGAAAUCUAAUUGAAGGAGUCUCUGUACAACACCGGUUAGAGAAUUGACUAUAUGUUGAAUCUCUAACGCGAGGAAAUGAACCAUCUGACCGGAGCCGUGUCUUUUGCAUGAGGAACCACCCCAGUGAACCUAACUCUCCAAGGAAUGUUUCUCUUCCUAAGUUAUUCCGAGUACUUGUUAUGUUAGUUAGUUUAAAUCUUUACCCAUCAUAGUUUGUGUUUUAUUUCUAAAGCUAACCUUGAAAUGAAACAAGACCAAUUCACUUGGAAUUGGUAUCAUUGAUAGCUUGUUAAUCCUUCCCAGUGAACGAUCCUAGAGCCACUAUGCUAUAGUAGCUUUGUCUUUGCUACCCUAGUAAAUGGUGUAAUAGGUUAUAAAUUUUGUUGAUUACUCCCUCAAUCAAGGAGCACCAGCUGGACACGAAUCAGCUGAGACACCAAUUGGGCACGAAUCACAAUCCAUUCGUUCGCCUGUUAGUGUAUCCAUUGGAUGGUUGUGCAUCAGGUAUUCUACAAAUUUGAUAAAAAAACAAACCAUAAUCACCACUGCAUGAACACAAAAAAUGUGAUGUUAGCAAUGUUAAAUAUUAUUGUAUAUAUAAUGAAAUAUGUGUAUUGGCAUGGAAAAUAUUGUACUUACUCCUUUGUUUGUUGUGGAAUGACCAUUCCUAUAUCUGAAUAUCGAGAGUUAUGCCGUGCAUUGGAGACUCUCACAGCUUCUCAGAGCAGUCUUGCUCAAGAGAUGGCAGCCAUUAGAGCAUGCCAAGAGCAGAUGUUGGCCACUCAGGCUCAACAAGCUACCAUCUUAAGGCAGCUCCAGCUUCAUUUCGAUCUGCCACCAGCUGUAGAGCCCUCCACUUCUAUUCCAGCAGAGCCACACUCUCAUCCCUAAGAGUCUCAUCCUCCAGAGCCUCAGGCCCCAACUGAAGCACCUACUGAAGAAGCAGACCCAUCUGCCUAGCCCCAGCACCACCCACUCAUCAGAUUAUUAUAUAUAUAUCUACUAUCUUUGUUUUAUAUAUUUCGUUUUUUAGUUUGAAAUAAAUCCCAUUAUUUUGGUACUAUAUUUGGGAUUGCUUAUAUUACUUUUCUUUUGCAUUGUACUUAAAUGGAUUCAAAGUAAUACAAGUUUAAUAUUUCUUGUUAACAGUUAGCAUUAACUUAUUCUUAUUUCCUUUUCUCACAUAUUCUUUUUUUUUUUAAACAUGUGGUUUCCCCAAUCAAUAUUCGAAUUUGAUAUCACUCAGGAGGUACCACUUCCUCCCUUUAAUUACAGUCACUCAUAUCACAUUGAGGACAAUGCUCAAUUUGGUUAGGGGGGAAUGAGGAAGGAAGUAUGCUAAAUCUUUUUGGUAAUGCAAUUAUUUUGGUAAAUUAGUUGUAAUUUUUACUUUUUACUCUUUUUUUUACUAUUUUUACUCUAUUCUUCAUGAAUUUUGAGGAAAAAUUUUCAAAUUAAACCAAGAGAAAUUGAACUGUUGUUUUUCACUUGACUUAGAGUAUGGAUUAUGCUCACUAAAGUGGUUCAAUUGUUGAAGCUUCUAUUGAAAUUGAAUUUAGUUCUUCCACUUUAAGCUAUUCACACACUGUGCACAUUAGAUUCCGAUUAUAAAAUGAAAAUCUAUUUCCCUCUUAACUUAGGAUAAUUUUGGGACUUGGUAUAUUUGACCUCAUUUGAUAAAAAUUGAAACACCCUGCAAAAGGCCAAUGAGCCUUUGAAAUAAAGAAAGUUGUUUACUUGCCUUGAAACCCGAGCAAGGUCUGAGGGGUAUAUGGUGAAAAUCUUUAAAGCCUGGUGCCCUAAGCCUUAAUUGGUUGGGAGUCACCGACCUCAAUGCUCGUUAUAAGGGUGAAUAGGUUGAGCUAGCAUAUGGUAGGGGCUUGGGUAUUAGAAACUCAUUCUUAAAAGUCCGGGGAAAAAUCCGAGGAGUUAGUGGUUGAAAGAUCCUUAAAGCUUGGUGCCCUAAACCUUAAUUGGUUGGGAGUCAUCGAUGGACCCCCAUUACAUGGACAAGUCAGAAAGAGUAGCCCAUAAAGCUGCUUUAAAAAAAAAAAAAUGUGUUCUUUUCUUAUUGAUUAUGGUCAGUUUGCUAAGUAUUGAAAACAGAUAGGUUGAGGGGAGAUAUUAGUUUAGCAUAUUAUUCUCGGAAGCUAAGGAACCAAUACACAUAGAUUUUUUGUGGAAGAUUAAAGUUGGGUUCUUUGAAAGUGGAAAUGAUUUUAAAACUUCAGUUUGUAUAAUGCAUUCCCUUGAUUGACAGUGUUUAGCAUAGUUUGUUAUAACUCUUGUUGAAAUUUGCUUUUAUAUUUCUUUAAGGUUUCAUGAGAGAAUUAGAUCAUCAUGCCACUUGAGAAUUGUUUUUGAUAAGCAUGAUGUUGUAAAUUUUAGUUUAGGUUGCUUUUUAUUUUCAUUUUUUCUCUCCUAUAUUGCUAAGGGACUAGCAAUAUGUCGGUUGGGGGGAGUGAUUACUACUCAAAAAGUGCUAUUUUAUAGCCUAUAAUUAAUCCUUUUAAACACUUUUGAGUAGUAGUUUUGGCCUUUUAACUCAAUUGGCAUGUUAAGGACACUUGAUAGCAAUUUUAAUCACUUUGUGUAAGUUUUGGUGUUUUUGUUAGUAAUUUGAUCACCAAAGCAAUUCAAGAUUGAGGAGAGUGUUGAGGAAUCUUGGGCAAAGCUUGGAAGUCAUUUGCCAAGAGUGAAUCCGGAAUGCAAGGAGAAAAAGUAAAGAGAAUCUGCCAAGAAGCAUAUUCUUGAUGACAGUCGUAGCAGCCACUUUUGGAGCACUUUCUGAAGUCCAAUUGAUACAUGCUAUAUACCAUUUCAAAGCUCAGGAAGUCAACAAUCCAAUGCUUCAAACGGUGUGCAAUUCAGAGUUGAAACGAAGAAGUUGCAGCCUUUGCAAGCCAAUCACUCCUAGCUGAAGGAAGCAUUUUCCAAAGUGUUGCGAAAUCACCCUUUUGUUGCGAAGUGAUUCCGCAGCCUUUUUGUACAGUAGGGUGUAUUUCCUCCUGAAGAUGCCCAACAUAUACCGCGAGAGGGAAGCUGGAAACCUCAAGUUGGAAGCUAACUUCGCAGCCCUGCGAAGAUAGCAUGUUGUUGCAAAAUGAUUUCGCAACCCUCUUGAGUGUCUGCGAAAUCUCGCAGACACCAUUUUCUCUUGCGAAAUGGUUCCUGAAGCACCCCGAUAUUUGCUACCGACAUUUGGAGAUAUUUUACAUCAGAUUUUUGUUGUCUAAAUCCCAAAAUACUCCUUGUAAGCCACCAAUUACAUGAUUCUUUAGCUUUUAAGUUAGUAAAAAGAGAAAAUAUCUAUGUAAUAAUUAGUUUUAUAUUAUGUUCAUAUAUAUACCUCUCGGGAGCCUGUUCUCAGGGAGGAGAUCCUUUUGUAAAGUUUUGGGUAAGCAAGUAAAGUUCAAUUCUUUGUAUUGCCUUACCUUAUCACUUUGUAUUUUUAUUUUCUUACUAAGUUAUGAACUCUCUGAGGAGUUUUCCCCAGAGAAUGAGUAACUAAACCUCUAGUUCCUUGGAGCUAAGGUUGCUGGGGAAGGUUCCAAGUGCAAGAAUGCAAAAGCUUUGUGGUUUUAGCUAGUAAUGAAGAGGAAGUAAAAUCCUUUAAUGAUUUCUAUGUUUUUAGUUAACUUAAAACACCUUAGAGUCACCUGGGCCAACACUUGGUAAGGCAAGUGAUUUCCAACCAUGGAAAUGCACUAGUUUACCCCUUGCGAGCCUCUGGGAGGUGACUUCAAGGUAGGAUUUUCUAGAAUAGCCAACACUUGGUAAGCUUUUGGACUCCUAGGAGACAUUCAUUAGUUAUCUCUUGCGAGCUUUUGACGGGUAAUCCAAGGUUGAAGAUCACCUUGAAUGGUUAAGGCUUAGUGAGAGGCUUAAACCAUUGCAAGUUGCAUCAGUGAGAGAAUUAAAGUGAAAUCUAAUUGAAGGAGUCUCUGUACAACACUGGUUAGAGAAUUGACUAUAUGUUGAAUCUCUAACGCGAGGAAAUGAACCAUCUGACCGGAGCCGUGUCUUUUGCAUGAGGAACCACCCCAGUGAACCUAACUCUCCAAGGAAUGUUUCUCUUCCUAAGUUAUUCCGAGUACUUGUUAUGUUAGUUAGUUUAAAUCUUUACCCAUCAUAGUUUGUGUUUUAUUUCUAAAGCUAACCUUGAAAUGAAACAAGACCAAUUCACUUGGAAUUGGUAUCAUUGAUAGCUUGUUAAUCCUUCCCAGUGAACGAUCCUAGAGCCACUAUGCUAUAGUAGCUUUGUCUUUGCUACCCUAGUAAAUGGUGUAAUAGGUUAUAAAUUUUGUUGAUUACUCCCUCAAUCAAGGAGCACCAGCUGGACACGAAUCAGCUGAGACAUCAAUUGGGCACGAAUCACAAUCCAUUCGUUCGCCUGUUAGUGUAUCCAUUGGAUGGUUGUGCAUCAGGUAUUCUGCAAAUUUGAUAAAAAAACAAACCAUAAUCACCACUGCAUGAACACAAAAAAUGUGAUGUUAGCAAUGUUAAAUAUUAUUGUAUAUAUAAUGAAAUAUGUGUAUUGGCAUGGAAAAUAUUGUACUUACUCCUUUGUUUGUUGUGGAAUGUUGUUCAAUCUCUCAAUGUCCCACACACGUUCACCCUUGGGGUCACCAUUCUCUCCAUAGUAUUUUGUAGUAAUACGUGGUAACAACUUUGCUAUGGGUGUGACAAGUGUUUUCAAUCUAUUGGGUUUGUUAAUUGACUUUAAGGAGUCAUAAAUGUAAAUUCUCCUACUACGAAGGUGGACAACUCCCAGUACCCAAUGUGUGUUGCUUAGAUUGAUAGGAACAUAUAUGACAUCAACCUCAAACCAUUUCAAAGAAGGCUUAGGAUAAAGACCCAUUGCAUAAUCGAUGAGGAUGUCAUCUUCCGGUAAAAUGUAUUUGUUCCAUGUCUUUUGAUUCAUCCUCCAACAAUUAUCUACUUUUUGCUACAUAAGGAAAAAUAAUCAGAAGUGGUGAAUAUAAUUUUAAAAACAAAGUGAAACAAAGUUAAAAUGCACUAAUAUGCAUACCCAAAAUAAUGUGUCAGUGGUAGUGAAUUUUUGUGUAAACACAUCAGAGUUCAGUAUCCUCCUUUUCCGAAAAAAGUAUAAAGCGGCAUCAAUAUGCUAAAAAUUAUAAGGAAUAAUAAUUAGUAAUCCAACAAAUUAUGUAUAUUAAUGAAUAAUGUAGGCAACAAUCACAAAUCGAGUCACUGAGUCAUUCUCCAAGAAGCAUUAUUUUCUGAAACCAUUUUUGGUCCACCUCUGUAUACUCGAUGUUCACUUCAAACCUUUAUGUCAUAUAAGGAAAUAAACGAUUUGUCAACUUCAUAAAUUACACAUAUAUAUAUAUAUUAAUUGAGUCAAUAUUGUGGAUAACUUACUCUUCCUCAAUCUCAUCAUUAAUAUAUUUUGUAUAAGCCACCUUUGCCUCCAUUGAUGGUAGGCGCAAUGGAUCAAAGAUUGAUGAUGUUAUGUCAGUCUUAUUGUGGACCCGCAUUUUUCACGUGCGUCCCCACUCGAUCGACGAGACUCGCUUUUUAUUUGUGAAAAAUUAAUUUUAGAAAAGUUGGAGUCACCACCUAUUUUUUUUUAUUUUAAAGGGAAAAUAAAACAAGAAAGAAAAACCCUAAAAAGUGACUCCAUAGUUUUGGAAAAAACAUGUCUUUGAGAAACCCGAGUCUAAGUCCAGGGAUCAGGUUACUUAUUGGGAAGGUACCUCUAAGAGGUAGCACCCCUCUAAGCCCUAUGAAGGUCUUUACUGACUAAAUUAAGGGAAGUGUGGCAAUUAAUUGGUGGAUUAUGGACACCUAAGUAGGCUAGGUGAUUUCAAAUAUUGCAUGCCUAAUAAGAAAACCAACCAUAAGAGAGAGUUGAAGUGCAUACCUGAACGACUUCUCAAGCGCUAUCAUAAAACAUAAGAGAUUAGUUUGGGAAUAUGACACAUUACAUGUAUUUUAUCAAAGAUGAUCAAGCAAGCAUCAAGACAAUCAAAUAUGGCAUCAAACAUGGUCAUGGCUCAUGAUAACGUACAUAUUCAUAGAAUUUCAGAGUUGUAGGGUGGGAAGAGUGUACUUGAUUAGCGAGCAUCCACACGUCUAUGGGAAGCAAGAAUAUCUGAACAAUAAAUAUAAAGUGAAUUCAAGUAUUUCAUCAAGAAGAAUAAAAAAAUCAACAUAUCAAGCAAACAAUAUUGAAGUGAGUAUCAUGAAUGUCGGGCCCCGACCAAAGCCCUAAUUAAUUUCGCAUGAGUUGAUUCCAUAAAUUCCAUGAUUUGGAAUUAUGAAGUUUAUUCAUGCUUGAGAAAAUUGAGAAAAAUCAAGAAAAUAGGUUGAAAAUCAAAUAAAAUAGUGAAGACGCUUACCGGAAGGAAAAUGACAGCAAAAGAUUUAUUAAAAUUUGAAUUUCAUGCCUAGAAAGGAUCUAAAGAUGAAUUUUUCAAAUCAAGAUUAUUUGGACGAAAACAAUUUUGAAAACACAAUUCAAGACACGUAAAAUCACGAGGAAAACAAGAGGGGUGCGAAAGAAAGAGAGUAGUGUGCACCAGACUGGCCAUGGUGAGUGGGGUUUGGGGGUUUGGGGGUUUGGCUGUGACUGCGUUGCUGGUGGUUGUGUGAAGAGAUCUCCGUAUAUUGCUGGCAUGACUAGAAAAGAACUGUCCAUAUUCGUUUCAGAGUCAAAGCUCACAGGGUUUGAUGCAUGAUUUCAUCAGCAAUGUCGUCUGGAUUCAACUUUAGUUUCUCGAGAUCACAAUUUGAAUCAUCAACUAGAGCUUGUAGUGUGGCAGUAGGUCUCAAUUGUAGAUCAGAUUUCCUAUGUUGCUGCUCAGUUCCAUCAAUUGGAGGUACAUUCUCAGAUUUGUCAAUAUACUCAACUUCAGUUACUGAGUUGUUUUUCUGCAUGACGAUCAUAAAAAGUCUAAAAACAAUGCUGCUCUGCUCCUUCCACUUUUAGUUUCUGCAACCAUUAUUCCUUCCACAUUGCCGAAAUUUCACCAUAGAAUUAAUUCAGCACUUCGGCUAGACAUGUCCUUCAAAUGGAGGGCUCUCUUCUGAGUUUCAGCAUCGUUUUUCCUCAUUAUGGAAGCAGAGGGACUGAUAAAAGAGACCGUACCAAUUAUACUCACAACACUGUUAUUCCUCAUGCUUUCAACGUCAUUGACGGACAAUUAGAAUUAUUCUGGUGGGAACUUCAUUCCUGGCUAUAAGUCCUCUAUUUGUGCACAUUGGAGGUGGCUACUGGUAUGUGGAUUGAGAGAGAAACUGCUCGGAUAUUAUCAUCUUGACAAGAAGAAACGACUGCAGAAUCUGAUCUAUUCGUUGACCUUGUCUUACAUGAAAACUGGUUGAUACUUCCAUUUCUCGUUUUGAAGGAUGCUAACCAGGGUGUAGGGAUCAAUAAGGUUCCUUGGUACUUUAAUAACACUACCUAACUGGGUGUAUUCAUGAGGUAGGGAUGAGCCAGAAAACCAGUAAAAGGAAAGAACUGAACUGGAUUUGUUCUUCGACAAUCCUACGAUCAAGUGGCUCGAGUUCAGUUGGCCAGAGAAAUCCUCCUUAAUGCUGCCCCGGAUGAAGAAGUCGGUGAUACAUUCCCUCUCUUCACCUUAUAAAUGACAGUGGACUCAAAGUCAAUAAACACAGCACCGGGAACAUGCUUUCUAAUACCACCGUGUCAUUCCGAGACUUUCCAUCAUGACCCAAUCAUUUUCUGCAUUUGUUUCUAUUGAAACAUCAAUAGGACCAUGCACUGACUCGCGUGGUCUCAGCUCAAUAUGUUAUAAACUGAAACUUUCUUCCCCUUUUGAAUUAUUCAUGACAUCCCAAUAAACCUUUUUAAGCUGAAGGAUGGCCAUCUGUGGGAGGUCCAUAUGGUGAAAGGAUAUGUAGAAUAGUGGAACAGAUGCAUAACGUUCUGAAGAUUAAGGCAUGAACAUAGUUGCAUUUAAGGCAAGAAAUAUAUUUAUACCAUCCAAAGCCGUAGUGGGCACAACCUUCUAACAAAUUCUGUUUAAUUCUCUGUAUUUCGCCACUUUUUUUAAUAGCACCCUUUCUAUUUCGUUGCCACUAUUAGAUGACCAGCAAACCCCAUGUAGAAGAGUCUUCCUUUAAUGCAUAUAGCCAAGCACUUUGAGAAGUAGUUUCCUUUAGCAUAGGCCUCGAUAGUACUCUUGUAGUAUCUUUGCUAGGAAAACAUUCUCAAACUUUAUCCAACCUAGAUUCCCCACAUCUUUCCAUACAAAUUCCUCCUACUCUUUCUGAAUUUUAGUUUAAGGCCACGCCAUGAACCAAAGUAGUUCACUCUGCAAUGAAUUUUUGAUACCUUCCACUCCAUCCGGAUGAAUUAAAACUUCUAUUGAAUCACAUUCCACAAAGGAUUAACAUUUAUAUGACAGAUGCUUCUUCUCUAAUACGGACUGAAUCAUAAGCCGCCUGUGAUAAUAUGUUUGUCAUUUGAUUUAUAUGAUCAUGCAAAGCAUUGUAUGAGAACUAUCCAGAUUCACAGUAGUAGGCGAUGGACGGAUAUGGAGGAAAAACACAGGGCUUAGAAUCAUCCCUUGUCGUGUCUAAGAACUUAAACCUCCUAGAUCUUUGACUGUAGUCACAGAAACAGACUCAAACUCUUUUCCCCUGAAUUUAUUUCCGAUACUCGAAUUCUCUGGAAUUACUAAGAACUUGGCUUUCUUUGUUAUCCAAGGACUGAUCACAACUGACCAAGUAGAAUACCCAGUGGAUGUGCAAACUAUCGUAUAGCAAGGGAUGGGUGCCAGAGAAAUAGGAAAAGAUGCAAAAAAGAACAAAGAAGCAAAACAAAACAGAGGAAAGGUAGGCAUAGAGUAAAUCAUCAAGCAAAAGCCACAUUCCAUUGUUUUGUCAAUGGGAUUAAAAAAAAAAAAAAAAAAGUGGGGAUAUCAAAGAAUAAGAGAAUGAUUCUUGGAUAUCAAUAUCAAUGACAAUCCCCUUCAUCAGCCAUUAACAAUAGAAAUUAAAAAGACUAAAAAUAGAAGCCAAAACAGAGCAUGCUCAUGCUUAAAUAUAUUCAGCAAAAGAAAGAUCAGUCCCAAAUCUCCACAACAAUCAAUAAGAUAACACCGGGACUUGCAGAAUAAUAUUUAGGAUCAUAUAGAGAUGAGAGAAUGCAAAUUUCACAUGACCAUACCUGGAAGAACCAAUCUUUGAGAAGAAUUGCUCGGCUUCAAAUGAGAUGAGGAUGUGUGCUGCCAGUCCUUCCCUCUGUGCUUCUCCUCAACACAAUCCCAAAAUUUCCCCCAAACCCAAUGGAUUUUAAAUUCUGACCCCAUGGCUUCCAUGAACAGAGGACAGGUAUGACCUAAGAGGAGCCAAGCAGGCAAACAAACUACUAAAUGAGGUUCCUUUUCAUGUUUUAAUCAAAGAGCCAAAAACAGGUGAAAGAGGCAGGGGGCAAAAACAUGAUUCUCAUAUAUUACGUAAUGAAGAUGAAUCAUAUUGAAGAUGAAUCUCAAGGAAGACCAAAGAUGCAGUAUAUGAACAGGGUAAGAUCUAGUCUAUCCAUAACUUAGAAAGCAACAAGCAACAAGAUAUCCGUAUAUCCAAUGUUCACACCCAAUCAACAAAAUAAAUACUCAAAACCAUCAAAGAAUCAUCAAGAAUAGAAUAAGAUGAAGCAUAGGAAAUAGCUAAAAACGCACCUGGGCAGUCUUGACUGCAAUGGCUCGACUUCUGGCUAUCUUUCCUCUUCAUUCUGAAGACAAUUCCCAGAUAAAAAUCCUCUUUUGCUUGUUUUUUCUUCCUCCUCCUCCCUCUCUAAAAAAAAUCCUAUGAUGCGUGUUGUCCUCCUAUUCUUUUCCUUUUCUCACAUAUAUAUAUCAUCCCUCAAGACCUAAAUUUAUUUCCAAAAAAGAAAAUUCCCCUAUUUCCUUUCUUCUUCUCUUCUUUUCCUUUUUUAAAAUCUUCCCAAAAAGCAAUCUUCCCCAUUUCGAAUUCCCCUCCAAAACCUUCCGAGGAGGGUCUCACCUUUCUUAAACUCCAAUGGUAAGUUUCCUUGCAAAAAAAACAUGAAAUUUUUUUAAAGUAAAUAAUUGAAUGAAUAACUAAACAAGUAAACAAAAUAAAUAAAUAAAUAAAAUAAAAUAAAAUAAAAGUCUUAGUAGGCCUAGUGUGCCUAAACGGGUCUAAGGUGAGACUAAGUGGGCCAAGGUGGACCUAAUGGGCCAAGAGUGCCUAAAUGGAUCUAGGGUGCCUAAAUGGGCCUAAGUGCUUAAGUGGACCUAGGGUGCCUAAAUGAGCUACCCUAAAAGCUAUCCUAAAAAUGAACGAAAAACCUAAGUCUAAAAUAGGGCUGCCAAGGGUCACAAUAAGGGGUCAGAUAAUCCCUCGACCAAAAUCUUCGAGGUGGCUAAAAAAAAAAGGUAAGUAGUAUGAGUAGCAAUAGGCCAUCAAGGAACUAUCGUGGAGCACUGAAAACGAAUUUAAAGACAUGUGCUAAAUGGACAAAAUUGAGGGUCUACACUUACUCAUUAAUAACUUCCUUCUCUUUGUGGGAUCUGUAAAUGGGUGCUGCAGUAGAUGAGAUUUCUUUACCUUUCUUCUUCGCUUAAAGAUAUUCGGUGAUAGUUGAUGUGGGAACACAUGAAUGAGUGUUGCAUCAGGUGGGUCAUCCUUCAAAGGCUCCUUAUCAUUGUCUUUCCUCAAUGUCUCAAUUUUUUCUAACUUUGAUUUGAAGUCCAGUGUUGUUUCAUUUCCCAUUGUUGCAGUAUAUAGCUCAUUACUCGGUUUUCCAACCUGAAUUUGCAUACAAAUAUAUAAAUAUAAUUGAAAAGGCAUUGUUAGUAAUUCAAAAUAUAUAAAGAAUAUAAGAUUGUGGAAAAACAUUAACCGGUGUUUCAUUCUGUGCAUCAUCCAUUGAAGCCUCUUUCUUAUUGUCUUUUCCCGAUGUUUCAAAUUUUCCUAACUUUGAUUUGAAGUUCAUCGUCAUAUCAUUCCCCAUUGUAGCAUUAUAUGGCUCACUUCUUGGGUUUCUAAUCUAAAAUUUGCAUAGAAAUAUGUUAAUAUAUUUUAAAAUGUGUUGUUGGUUUUAUAAAAAAAUAAAGAAUGUAACACAUGUUACUAACAUCCAACAACAGCUCACUCAAACCAUCAAUCUUGCUUCCUAUUUCUUUCAAUUAUGUUUUGACUUCUUUAAAAUUUGCUUCUGUCUUUUCUUGAAAGUUGAUGAACAUCAUAAGCAAUUCCUUUACAUAAGAAAAAACAUUAUAACAUUAGUCAAACAUUCUUAAACAUGUAUAGUGAAAUAAUAUUAAUAACUUUCAUUUUAGUUACCUUGAAUGAAGGUAAUUUAGAACUAUCACCAUCUUUUCCACCUUUCAUUGUUGCUACUGUUGCUGUAGUAUAAGCCUCAGCUUUUUCAUGAUCUUCAUCUUUCUUCCAAUCAUUCAUAUUAUCUUGUAAGGCAUCAUUCGACUGAGCUUCAAAUUCAAAACAUUUCACAUACUCUUGUUCACGCUCUUCCAAUGUCGAAAUGAGUAUGGAAUGCAAAGAUAACUAAUCAUUCAAGAUAGGAAGAAAGUAAUUAAUAAUAAGAACAUGGUUAUGUAAAUAAGAAAGCAAAUAUAAGCAAAAAUUAAGAUAUCACUCACAUUUGACUCUACAAAUAAUGAUUGAAUCUCAAUGUACUUUGGAGUUGCAAUCCCUGUCCAAUUUAAAAUUCUAGGAAAACUUCUACCAAUGCGACUUGCAUAUUUCAUUCCAAGCAAUGGAUGACUUCAUAUGCCCAAAUUUGAAAGGCAUAUGGAAAUCCAACAAGUGCAUAUGCUUCAUAUGAUGCAUUCCCUUUUUCUUCUUUUUUUCUCUACAUAUUUUGACUAUCUUUUGUCCAAAGCCCUUUCCAACCCAAAUAAUGUUCUUUCAUAGCAAAUUUUCCCCCAAGGAUACUUGUUGAACUCCUCUAAAUUAUCAACAAAUUGAACCUAUUGUAAAUCUAUCAAAUUCUUCCCUUCUUUUCCUAAUAGCACAUGCUCAACAAAGUACAACAAUGCUAACUUCACAAUGUCUUCAUCAAGAUUUGAUUUCCCAUUUAACUUUGCCUUAUUUUUUUGUCUUCUUUGUGCUCAUUCUUUUUCCUUUCUUACAUAAUGUGAUGAAAACCUCUUCCAAUAGAUAUAUAUUUUGCUAUUGAAGGAGUAAUCUCAUAUACAAGAAUCAUCAACACAUUAACAUCCCAAAUAGUACCAAAAAUACAAACCUUCUCAUCAGAUUCUUCAGUAUUUGCCAUUAAAGAUGAGUAGUUCACUUUGAUCACUUUCUAGGAUGAUCACUUUUGGAGUUAUACUAGAUUUCAAAUCUAAGGGCCUAUUUGUUUAGUGUUUUCAAGAACUUUUUUCUGUUCUUGAAAACAAAAAACACCAAAAACUCGUUUGGUUGAGAGAGUCGUUUUUGUUUUUGUUGUUCCCCAUGUUCUCUAAAUGGCACUGUUUAGAGAACAACAAAAUGUUGUUUUCCCCAUUUUUUUACUGUUUACAGAACAAAAUUAAACAAAAAAAACCAUCUGUUUUCCGUGUUUUUUUUUUCUUCCCAUUCUCAUAUCUUCUCCAGCACAGUCGCGUCACCUUUUCUUGAUUUUUCCCGUUUCUCAGUUUUGAUUCAAGGUUCGUGAAAUUUAAAUCCAAUGGCACAAUAGCAAAGAGACCCCUAAAACGGAUCCAGAAAACACAAGGAGCAAAAGAAAAGCAAUUUUUUUUGGUUUUCCUUGGGGGUUUUGCAUGGAUUUUCUCGGAAAUCAAACGAGGAUGAAUUUUCCCGGAAAUUGAAUGGGGCAUGGAUUUUCUUGGGAAUCAAACGGAGAUUGAAAAAAAAAAAUAAUAACAUGAUUAGAUUAGUACCUGCGAGGAUUGAGAGUGGCAGAGUGAGAGAAGGGAUUUUCCCGGCUGGAGGGCAACUUCAGAAAAGGGAUUUUUUAGGGAUUUUCCCGGCUAGAGGGCAACUUCAGAAAAGGGCUUCUUGAUGCCCGAGUGAGAGAAGUGGGUGGCAUUUUGAAUUUUAGAUUUAGUAGAGAUAAAAAAAAAUUAACAAAUCACGAGAACAAUUUUAUCUCAACUUAAUAGAAUAUGCUAUAAUUUUUAAUAAAGUUAAAGAUUAAAUAAAAAAAUUAUUAACAAAAAUGAUUUUAUUAUGUUUGAUUUAUUUUAAAAAAAUAUAAAAAAUAUUUUUAUUUUUAAAUUAAUAAAAUAAAUAAUUUUUUUAAUUUAAAUGAACUAUAUAUCUAAAAAUUAUUUAUAAAUUUAUAAUAUAAAAUUACUUGAAGAAAAUAUUUUAUUAAUCAGAAAAGAAAAAAAAACAUCUUUCAAAUGUGUUUUUUGUUUUAUUUGUUCUAAAUUUUUUUUUUAUUAACUCAACCAAACAUGUUUUUUUGUUUUUGAGAACAAAAAAUAUUUUUCAAAAUUCAAUUCCCAAACACAAUUUUUUUUUAAAAAACACCAAAAACUGUUCUUAAAAACUGUUCUCAAUAACUGUUUUCCAGAACAGUUUUCAAAAACAGCAACCAAAGAGGCCCUAAGUUUUUUUUCCUUGCCCCUGAAAAAUAAAUACAAAAAAUAGUCAAAUAACAAUCAUGCAUUUGCUUAUUAAAAUCCAUAAGUUUAUACUAAGUAUAUAUAUAUAUAUAUAUAUAUAAAGAGAGAGAGAGAGAGAAAUAGAGACCAUUGUAUAACAUUCUUUUACAUCACCUUAGAAACAAUUUUUAGAAAUUUUCAUUUUCAUAAAACUUACACUACAUUUUUCAUUGAAUUGUUUUAAAUCUUUUAUUGAUGAAAGAGAUUGCAUGAUGCACAUGAUUUUCUAAUGAGUUCAAACACUUUGGUUAUUCAUGCCUAAAUUUUAAGAACCAAUCACGAGUCCAUGUCAUAUUACUUUUCCUUGCAUCUAUGUCUAGAUAUAAAUGAAGUUCUAAAGGACCAUCCUUACUUAUAGAAAGCAUAUGGUAGAAGUAUUUUGGCUAUGCAUAUGCAUCAUCUAACUCAAUAUUUUAGUUGUGAGUAAUAUUUCACUCCUUAGUUGGGAUCAUUCUUUGUCAUGACUUUUGUUAGAGAUUACAAUUUCACUUAUGAUCUAGUAAAAACAAGCUAGGUUUAGACCUUGAUGGGGUGUUUCUUAAUGUUGGUUCACAUCCAAGGGAAAACAAGGAUUUUCUUCUCGAUCUAUACAAGAAAAAUGGAAAUUGUAGAUAGGCAAGGGAUGCAAAUUGUUUGAUGAAAAUUGAGAUUUUCAGUUAAACCAACUUCCUAUCCCUUGGGAAAAGAACUACAAAUAGGAAAAGAUUUUUUUUCCCAAACUGCUAAAAAACUAGACACCUAAUUGGCAAAGACUACAAUGAUCUCCAAUUUUGUCAUUAAUAGAAAAGAAUGACUAUUCAUGUAUAUCAUAUUGGUUCCAUUACUUAAAAGUUAAGCAACACAAAAGGAGAAUAAUUGACAUGAAUGCUCGUAGAAGAAGUAUUGUUUUCACUUUAUGAUAGAAACCAAAACUACUUUAAAAAAAAGGUUUUGAAUUUUGGAAAAGAAAUCAAAACCAUUCUUCCAACACUGCUCAUGGAAAAAGACUUCAGCAACACCUUCAAUAUCUCCACCUGGGGGGUUGAACGGAAACAAAUUCAUUUUCCUAUGGGAUGAAUGAAAUAUUUCUUCCAAUCACCAGGGAGAACAAAUGUGUUUAGGUGAGUAUUCUCAAUUAAAACUUAACUCCUACUAUGUUCUUUAUUAAAAAAACAUAACUACAAUUAAGUUCAAGACAUUUGUUUUAAUUCAAACUUAAUGAGUGUUAAGUUACUUGUAAAUUAGACUUAACCCUAGUGUAGUUCAAGUGUAUAUCCUCAAUUAAAACUUAACUCCUAUUAAGUUCUUUAUUAAAAAACUUAACUUUAGUUUCGUUCAGGUAAUUUUUUUUUUAACUGAAACUUAACCACUGUUAAGUUAUUUGGAAAAUAAACUUAACCCUAGUACAGUUCAGUUGAAUAUCCUCAAUUAAAACUUAACUCUUUAUAAGACCAAAUUGGUCAACACAUUUGUCACUUUUCUACUAGAUUUCUACACUAUAGAAACAGAGCAUUUGCCACAACAUCAUGCUUCAAAAUCUUAACAACUAGAGCAAAACAUCAAAAUAAAAUAGCCAAGAAAUCUAAUUAAAGACAUUUUUUUAAAUUCAACUAGAUAUCUUAUUUGGUAGACUAAUGUGUUUUUAGAGUUCAAAAUGAAAGAGGAACAUGCUAACAAAUUUAAGAAAAACCCUUAUAUUUAUGUUUAACAAAAAGUGAACAUAUAAAACCCAUUACUUUCUCUCGCAUUUUUUCUAAAACUAUCCAGAAAGAAAACACAUACCUUAAGCGAAUGUAUGAAAUCAACAAAGAGAAGAAUCUAAAAAAACAAACUAUUUCAAAGUAAUAAACAUACUUUUCAAGAUCUUUUUCGGUUCUCUUCCGCUUCGUUUCAUUUCUUCAUUUCCCGCGUUUUUUCAAAAUCUGGAGAAAAAAAAUUCACACUUCAAUCAAAUGAAUAACCUUUUACAAUCCUUUUACACAAAUAAUCAACAACAAUACGCAAAUCUACAAAAAAAAAAAUAUCAGAAGACCAAAGAGUGCGUUGUAGUCUACCAUUCAAGAGAAAACCCUUGGUUUGUUCUAUUUCUCUUCCUUUAUGCUCUUUUCAAUUUCAAAGGUUUCUCUUUUUUUCAAGAUCCUUUUCGGUUCUCUUCCACUUUGUUUCGUUCUCUUCUUUUCUCGCGUUUUUUUAGAAACUGGAGAAAAAAAAUUCACACUUCAAUCAAAUGAAUAACCUUUUAGAAUCCUUUUACACAGAUAAUCAACAACAAUACGCAAAUCUACAAAAAAAAAAAUAAAAAAUAAAAAAAUAUCAGAAGAUCAUAGAGUGCGUUGCAGUCUACCAUUCAAGAGAACCCUUGGUUCGUUCUCUUUCUCUUCCUUUCUCCUCUUUUGAAUUUCAAAGGUUUCUCUUUUUUUUCAAGGGUAAUUUAGUCCAAGAGGGGUCAUUCUUCAGGUUUUAAAAAGGCAGAGGUCAUUUUUCCAAAUACCACUUUAUUUUGGCACUUUUAACCAAAUAUCCAUUUAUUCUACAAUUAAUUUUAUCAAAAUUUUGAAUUGCAUAUUAUUCUUAAAAAUUAGUAGAUUAAAAAAAUUAAAUUAUUAAUUAUGUCUUACUUAAUUUAAAAUCUAUUUAUUAAGUGAGAAGAUUAAAAAAAUAUAAUUGUUUAUAUAUGAGAAAUUGAAAAGUUAUGACUCAUAAUGUAUCCAUUUUGGUUUAUUAUUGUUUCUAGUAAUCAAAUAUAUUUUAUGAGUUCUAAAUUUUCUUUAAAAAUGAUUAAACCCAUUAUUAAAUUAAAUACAAAGCAUCAUUUAAUUUGAAGUUUAUUGAAAAAUUUAUAAAAAUAUAAUAAUGUGCAUAAAAUAAAUUAUAGAAUCAUCGUGAAUCAUUUUUUAUCAAUAAAUUCUUAAUACUAAUUGAGUCACUAUUUGAGUUUAAUUUUUUUUUUUUAAUUAUUAGACUUAUUGUUGAAUCCAAGAAUUAGGUCUUACUUAAUUUGAAGGUAAUUGUUGAGUGAAAAAAAAAAUAUAAACAUAAGGUUCUACAUAGAAAAGGAAAAUUAGAAUCAUUAUAAACUAAUUUUUGUUUAUGGUAUUAAUUAAAUUACUAUUUGAUUUUCAAGUUAUUUUUAAAAAUUAUUAAUCUUGUUAUUGAUUCUAACACAUUAAGUGAGUGUUUGGUAAACUAACUUAAUGAUUUAAAAACUUAAUUCAAGUCAUUAAGUAAAUUAACUAUGUUUGGUAAAAUAACUUAAUAGUAUGAUUUCAAGUAAAAAAACAACUUUAAGUAAUAAGUAAAAAUGAUUAACUUAUUCUUAAGUCCAUAUUUUCAUUUUACUUUUUUUUUUUAUUAUCAUUUGUUCUAGUUACUUCUAGUAUAUCUUUUUGUUACUCUAUGACCUCCAUUGUUACUUUGACCUCCUUUUGCCCUAAUUAUUAUUUAUGAGGAUAAAUAUGUCAAUUUGAUGAUUUAUAAUAAAUUUUAAAUUAAUUGUAUCAAACAACCUUAAUACUUAAAAUAAGAAUUAAAGAAUAAGUUUUAAGUUAACAACUUAAGUAUAAUUUAAUUUAAAAGUUAACUUAAUUUAUUAAGUAAUAAGUAUUAAGUUUUACCAAACACCUCUUCAGUAUUGUUUCAUUUGGAAUUUAUUUGUCUAGUAAAAAAAUUUGUAAAAAUAUAAUUAUAUGCAAAAAAGGAAACUAACCAAGUCAUUUAAAAUGAAUUUUAGCAUGUGAUUUUCUAAUGUUAUUGAGUUUUAUAACUUUUUAAUACUAAUUAAAUCGGUUUUUAAGUUAGAAAUUAUUUUUAAUAAAUUUUAUGUAUCAAAUAUAGUUUAACCUGAAAUACGAUUUUCUAACAUUAUUGAGUUUUAUAGCUUUUUAAUACUGAUUAAAUUGGUUUUUAAGUUUUUUUAAUAAAAUUUGUGUAUCAAGUAUAGUUUAAUUUAAAAUUUAUUUACUUAAUGAAAUUUUUUAAAGAAGUUUAAAGAAAUAAAAAAAAAUACGUAUAUUUGAAGAUUUUCAAUAUUGAUUGGAUCAUAAAGAGAGAAGUAGAAUGUCAUCAUAUUUAAUUUGAUUUUUUAUUUUUUUUUAAAAACACGUGAAAAUAAAAUUUUACUCUUCUUCUAAAAAUUAUUCUCUUCCUCGUUUUGUUUUUAAAAACUAGAAAUUGAGAAUAACGGUCAAACCAUACUAUGAAUUUUCUAAAAGCAAUUUUCUCCUUUUUAAAAUUAAAAAAAAAUGAUUUUUAAUCACAAGGCCAAUAUAUGCUCUAUAUUUUUAUACUCAUAUCCAAGAUUGAAAUAUCGGUUUUUACGGAUAUAUCGAUACUGAUAUAUCGAAAAUAUCAGAGAAAUAUUGGUGGAUAUUUUUUCACAAAUAUGGAUAGAAUGAAAAUUAUUUAAAAUUAAUAGGAAUGCUUGAAAAAACUUCAAAAAAAUAAUAAAAUAAGUAAAAAUACACAUUUUAAAGUUAUCUUGUAAGUGUAAUUGACAUAUAUAUAAUUAAGAAGAAAAAUAUCGUAAACAAAGAUAUAUUGGUAGAUUCGUUAUUUGAAUUUUAAAAAUAAUAUAUAUGAAUUUUGAAAGUGUAUAAAGUUAGAAUUGAGUUAAAAAAUAUUUGAUUUUAUUGAAUAAAAACAAUUUAUAUAUAAAUAUGAUACAUAUGAGAUUGCAAUAGUCCUUAUACUAAGGAAGAGAUCGAUGUGGUUUCAUUAUAUUGUUAGAUGAUGAGGAUCCAACUGGUUGUAGAUAAUAUUUAUUUAAAAAUUUUUAAAAUACUUUUAUUAAAACAUGUUUUAUUAUAUUUUAAAUGAAAAUUAAAUUAAUUUAUAUAAAAUAUUUUAUUUGAGAUUUAAUUUUUAAAAUUUUAUUAAAAAUAUAUAGUAACAACUUUUUUUAUUAAUAUUAAUUUAUUUAAUAAUCAAAAUAAAAUUCGAUAAUUUAUAAUUAUUUAUAUGGAUAGAUGAAAAUUGUUUUUUUUUUUUUUUUUACCUCUACUAAUUCCCCACUUCUGAAGUUGCCCUCCAGCCGAGAGAAUUCCCCUUUUCUGAAGUUGCCCUCCAGCCGAGAGAAUUCCUAAAAAAGACCUAUUUUCCUCUGCCACUCUCAAUCCUCGCAGGUACUAAUCUAAUCACGUUGAUAUUAUUUUUUUUUGUAACCCUCGUUUGAUUCCCAAGAAAAUUCAUUCUCGUUUGAUUUCCGAGAAAAUCCAUUCAAAACCCCCAAAGAAAACCAAAAAAUUUGCUUUUCUUUUACUCCCUGUGUUUUCUGGAUCUGUUUUAAGGGUCUCUUUGCUGUUGUGCCAUUGGAUUUAAAUUUCACGAACCCUAAAUCCACGAUUUUUGAGCCAGAUUUUGUAUCCUGUGCGCGGGCUGGACCGGUAGGAAAUAUCGGGAAAAUUUCCGAAAAAUCGGUAAAAAUACCGCAAUAUCGGCGAUAUUUUCGGCGAUUUUUUGAAAUUCUCCUCCGGUUGCUCCGCGCGUCAGAUCCACUCGCGAUUUUUCUCCUAUUUAUCGGUGCUUCACCGAUAUUUCGCCGAUAUAUAGGCGAUUUUGUCAAUUUUUCUGUCUCGGUGACGAUUAUCGUUUCGAUGCCGCCCGAUAUCCGAUAUUUUCCCGAGAUAUCGGAGAUAUUUUCCGUUUUUUCAAUCCCUGCUCAUAUCUAAGGUUUUAGGUGGUGUUUGUUUUUUUACUUAAUUCUAAAUAAAACCUUAAUACUUAGUAUUAAAUAUUAGGUUGUUUGUUUUUGUAGUAUUUUAUUUCUAUUAAGUAUUAAAAAGUAAAAAAAAUCAUUGUGUUAUUUUUUCUAUUUAGAAAAAGCCACAUAUUUUGGCUUUUUCUAUUUAGUAAAAAGUUUAUAAUAAGUCAUGAAAAAGUAAAAAAACAAACAACUUAAAUUUUAAAACUAAAUGGUUUUCAGUAAAAAGCCAAAAAAACAAACACCACCUUAGACUUUUUCUUUUUGUGGUUUUAGAGACUUGCAUUUUGAUGCAUCAAUAAUCAGGCUUGUCUACCAUCCCUUUUCCUUAAAAGCCAAGGAUGAGAAUAAAAGGAAUGAAAAGCUUGAGAUAAGCACAUGGAUGAUAAAAAGGAAUGAAAAACUUUUCCUCUAUCUUGCAGAAUAUUCUCAACAGAAUAUCAGCUCUGUUGGUUUAUUUUAACUUAAAUUCUGCAGCAAAUAUAGCACUUGCCAUCACUCCUCGAUAUUUUUGCUACAAACACAAAUUUUUUUCCUCAACAAUUCAAACCUUGAUUUUGAUAGUCCCUUUGUCAAAAUAUCAGCAAGUUGACUUGUGUCUUACAAUGUAAAUUCACUUCAUCAUUCUUCUGGACUUCUCUAACAAAAUAAUACUAAUUUUAAAAUGCUUUGCCUUGCUAUGAAACACUAGAUUGUUAAAAAUUGCUAUGGCAGCUUGAUUAUCAACAAAAAUUCUGGUUGCAACAUCCUGAACCAUCUUCAAAUCUGUCAUGAGCCUCCUUAACCAUAAGGCUUGAUUGAUUACGACAGCAGCUGCAACAUACUCGGCCUCAGCAGUAGACUGAGCUAUAAUUUCAUGUUUCUUUGAACUCCAACAGAAACAACCUGAUCCAAGACUAAACAUGUAGCCUGAUGUGCUCCUCAUAUCAUCACAUGAUCCUGCCUAAUCAAUAUAAGCAAAACCAUCCAAAACCAACUUAUCUUUCUUCUCAAACUUUAUUCCGAGAUCCAAAGUCCCCUUGACAUACCUGAGCACCCUCUUAGCAGCCUUAUAAUGCAACUGCAAAAGUCUCAGAAAAAUCUACACCAAAUAAUUGAGCAUACCCUUUUAUAACUAGCCUUACCAUGUAUUUGUUUACAGAACCAUCAGCAUUAAGUUUGGUUCUAUAAACCCAUUUCACACCAAUAGCUUUCUUGUGUAGUGGUUUGUCCACCAACUCCCAGGUUUGAUUCUUAUGAGCCAUCUUGAUCUCCUCCUCCAUUGCUACAAUCCACUUUGGAUCCUAAACAACCUCAUCAUACCCUACAGGUUCAAACAUAGCCAUAUUGCACCUUUG
rnacentral:lncRNA from 1 species